rnacentral:lncRNA from 1 species
UAAACCUUACCCUUCUAGAAAUAAAAAACGAGAAUGAUACAAAGAAAAGAGGGGGGGGACAUGAAACAUAAUCCCUCUAAAACCAAACCUAAAGGUCUAAACUUGCAAAACAAGUCAAACAACCCCAUAAAGUUAGGAGAAAAAAAAAAGUGAGACAAACCUGGAUGCCGACAUGCACAUUAAUUUGAGAAGCAAUAACCAGGCAAGCCAACAUAGUCUGAAAACAAAGCAGCACAAACCGCCAUCGGAGGAGAAUCAUGCCAAGUUAAAGAUGGAGAAGACAAUCCCAUGUUAGCAAAAUUGUCUGCAACAAGAUUUACUUCACGAUGUACAUGAGAUACAUAGAAAGUCAUUUUCCGAAUACGAUCUAAACAAAUAGACCAUUGCGUAUGAAGAGGCCAAGGAGGAUCAAAAUUAGACGAUUGAAGAGCAUAAAUAACACUAGAACUAUUACUUUCAAACCAAAGACAAUGCCAACCCUAUUGAUAUGCAAACUCAAUACUAAUAAUAAUUGCUAAUAACUCUGCAAAAAAAAAAAAAAAAGUUGCGAUGACCAAUGCAUUGACAGAAACCUCCAAGAAAACAACCAUGACAAUUCCUGAAAAAUCCUCCACAUGUAGCAGGAUCAGAAUUUCCUUUAGACAAACCAUCUGUAUUAAGCUUAAACCAAGGAAACCAAAGGACAGGAAGAAUAGUAGGUGCCUUGCGAGGGAUAGGUUGGAUCCCCAAAGAAGAAAUGAUCCGAGUGUCAAAACCUUGAGAAUAACCAGAAAUAAACUUCCCACCAUGAACAAUCGCCGAAUUGAUAGAAAUGCAAAAGACGAUGAAAAUAGAUUGGACGACCCUAAAAAAUAAAUUUAUUUUGAGCCUUCUAAAUAGCUGAAAUAGUAGAAAGACCCGCAAAAAUCCAUAGAUUGUGCAACUGUUUGGAAAAUGGCUUACAGACAUAGACAUCCCAAAAAACAACCAAAGAAUCUGAAAGAGGCAAAAAUGUACCAAAUUAACAUACUAACCACCUCCAAAGUUGCCUAGAUAUCUGACAUCCAAUGCUGCCGAUGAUGGUGAUGAUUAUAAUUAUAAUGAUGGAGGCUGCGAUUCAAAAAGAUCAUUCGAUUUCUCCUCUUUCAAAGCCGACAUCCUCUCCACUCGCAACUUUGAAUACGAUUGGUGCGGAGAAUCUUUUGAGACUGCUCACGCAGCCGUGCUUGGUUGCUUUGCCCUGUAAGUUUCGUCGGUAAGGUUAACUUUCCAAUUCUAUCCCAUUUUCUGUAUUUGCUUUCUCCUGCGUGCGGCCUUAACUUGUAACUGUACUACGUAGGAAAGCAUUAGUCAAUGUAUUUCCUGUGCACACACUAUCACUUGAGGAACAAGUUCGACUGCAUUGUUUGCGAUUUAAGUCAAUCUAGACCCUGCAUUGCAACUCGCAUUGGGUCUUACUGGAACUACUUACAGCGAGCAUGCAAAACCCCCUGCGUGUUGAUUGAGGUUCUGAGGGGGAACACUCCAUCAAGCACGUUGAAGAUAUGGUCUGUAGCAGCAUUGCUUGGAAAUUGGAAAUUGGAGAUCUGCCUAGCUAGCUACUAUUUCUGUGUCUAGCUCCUCAUGUAGUUUUCUGUUAGGUAAUUUUUUUUUUUUUUUAAAUGGAAGAACAGGCAUUUUAUUAAAUAAAAAAAAAUAUUUAGUCAUAUUUUUAGGCUUAUUAUAUUUAUACCCUACAUAUUGUUGAAUAAACCUUAUAUACUUAAUACACCUCAUAUUUACUUUUUCAAUUAAAAUUUAUCUUAAUACACCCCAUUUACUUUCCCAUAUUACCCUCCCACCCCCAUUCUCAACAUACACCUUACAUUUUCUAUAUACACCCCAAAUUUUUUAUAACUCAGUCACAAUCAAGAUUGGAGGAAGAUAAGGCUGCUGAGACUUUGUUGAAGGUGGCAGACGAGGUUAUACGCUGAGGUUUAAUGACAAAAAUUCGAGGGUAAAAGCAGCAAGGGAAAGGAGAACAAUUAGAGGGUCUCUUGUAAUGUGAAUGGCACUAGGACUUUGCCCAGAUUGGCAAAAACGUAGCUGAAUGUUGAUGUAGUUUUAUUGCAUUUUCAGAUGUAUGAAAAAAAAAAACAUAUUUAUUUAUUGGUGUUGAAUUGCAGAACAAAGAUUGUGUUUAGCCAUUUUAUUACUAUUAUCAUUUCUUUAAAUUGGGGUUAUGCCGUGAGAUGAUAUACAUAAGGAAAUAUUGUUAAUUUCUUCGCACUCCAUUCAAGUUCUAACCUUGUAGUUUCAUCAUUUUGCUUGCCUUUGCUGGGAAGACAAAAAAAAUAGAUAAAUAAUACGUUAAAAGUGAUUUGAGGUUUAUUCAGAAUUUUUUUAUAUUUUUAAAAAACUAAUAAGGUCAAAAUUGACAUUGUAUAGAGUGUAUAAGUUAUUUAAUAUCGAAUUUGAAUGUGAGGUGUAUUUAUCAGUACGGAUGUGUACAUCUUUUAUUGGCACGGAAGUACUUAUCGAUUAUGCAUUGAAUUUUUUAGUAAUUUAAUUCAAAAUGUGAAGUAGCUUUUGUAAAGUUACCGAAAGCGCCGUGACGGAGAUGAAGAUGGAAAUGGUGUAAAACUUUUGACGAGUUGAACCGAAAGCGCCGUGACGGAGAUGGAGGUGGAGAUGGAGAUGAGGGCCGGGGAAGAAAUAGAGAUAGGACAAGACAUAACGCCACCGCUCCCUCCGCUUUCUUCCUCUCUCCACCACUCCCUCCUCUCAUCUCACUGCUCUUCCUGCUUCUCCCCUCUCCCUCCCCAACCCUUCCCUCCCCUCUUUACUCCUACCUUUCCCAACACUCCCUCCUCCUACUACUGCUCCUCCCUCUGCUCCUCCGCCGAUUCUCCCCUCCACGUCUCCAGCGCCGAGCCCUACCUUCUCCUGCUUCUCCAAUCCCACCCCUCCGCCUACCCCAACGGCGACUCCUCCGACCUCCGCGCCGCCCUCCGCCUCCUCCAAUCCCUUCCCGCCACCUCCCCCUACCCUCGCGUAGCCGGCCUCCUGACGAAUCGCCACAAACUCCUCCACCACCACGACCAUAGGGUUCGCGACGGCGCCAGAGCCAUGUUCCUCGCCAGGAAGAUGCGGGAUGAAUCUCCGAAUUUCUCUAUCGAUGCGACUAUUGCCAACGUUGCUCCGCACGACGCCGUAUUGGAGGAGGCCGUGCUGUCAUUGGUGCUAACGAACGCCGUGGAGGUGCAGGAUAAGACCGGGCGCACCCUUGGAAUUUCCGUCUACGGUCCCAGCUUCUGCUGGAUCAACCACAGCUGCUCCCCGAAUGCUUGCUACCGCUUUUCUUUGAUGACACCGCCAACGCCACCUUGUUGGCCCGAAACGGCGCUGCUGCGCAUUGUCCCCUUCGGCCGCUCCUCCGGUCGUGCCACACAAGUAAUCCCUGCAAAUUUGCACCGUUUGUUUAAUUUAUAGUGGAAUAAGAUUGAAAUUCAGGGUUGUGAGAUGGAUAUUUGUUGCAGAUUGAGAAUGGUGUUUGUAGCAAUAAUGUGUUAGCAAAAGGUGUUGUGGUUUUUUUAAGUUUUCGUGCUUCUUUUCGGUUUUUGUUUGUUUGAAUUAGUACACCAAAUUUACCAGUAUUAUUGAACCAUUCGUGUAUAUUACGAAUGUAGAAAGCCGAGGUUAUGGUCCAAGAGUGACGGUUAGGAGCAUCAAGAGAAUCAAGAAAGGCGAAGAAGUGACUGUUACUUACACUGAUUUGUUGCAGCCUAAGGUAUCUGCAUUUUAUCUAUAUACACAUUAUACAUGGAUCAGCGAUUGGAAUUUUGAAUUCAUAUAAUCCACAUCUGUUUUGUCAAGUUAACUGAGCGAUGUUUCGAUGACUGUGAGAUGAGAAUUUGCUAGUGUCAUUUUCUGCUUAUUGUCCCUGUCUUAGGAAACUAAACUUGAUGAGACAAUGCAAGGCAAUCCGACUUCUUUCCACUUUAGGGAUUAGCUAAAUCUUGCCCCAUUUGACUUUUCUUUUACUUAUUUCCAAUUUUAAUUGUGUUGAUGUUAUAUUUUAAUCCCUUUCUUUUAACGUCACAUUUUCUUUUCUUCUCAUGAGCUCCUCCAGGCAAUGAGGCAGUCAGAGCUAUGGUCAAGGUAUCGGUUUAUCUGCUCUUGUACGCGAUGUAGUGCAUCACCCCUAACCUACGUGGAUCAAGCUUUGGAGGUGGCAAUUCAUGAAAACUUUUUCUUUCUUUCUUGAUAUUCUCAAUUAAAUACUAAUUCUUAAGUCUAUUUGGAGUUCUUCCGUAAUAUCUUUAUACUAUUGAUUUUACAGAAAUUAUAAAUGCACUAGGAUAUUUGUACUUCUAGAUUCUUGUUUUUGUAUCCCCCCCUGUAUAUAGUUUGGCCUUCACUUUGAACAAAAGCUCUUUUUCAACUUGAACAUGAAUUACCUCCUAACCAUUUUUCUUCCUCUCUGGCAGUCAACUUUAUUUCCUAGGAUGUAGCUAAUGUUCUUAUUGGUGUUUUUUGAAUAAUCAUUAACCUUCGGUUUCAAAACUCCAGGAAAUAUUUGCAGUCAAUUCCAACUCCUCCAGUUUGAGUUUAGAAAUAAACUUCAAUAGAGAUAAGGCAACGCAAUUGUUGAGUGUUUACUUUGAUGAUGCUAUUGACGACUACCUGUCGAGUGGCGAUCCUGAAUCUUCUUGUGAGAGGCUUGAGCAUGCGUUCACACAAGGACUCUCUGAUAUGCAAUUAGAUUGCAACGGAGAAACAUCUCAGCUGAGAUACUGGUUGCACCCAUUAAAUUACCUCUCCCUAAAUGCCUACACAACAUUGGCUUCAGCGUAUAAAAUCCGUGCAACUGACAUGAUAGCUUUAUGUUCUAAAAUGGAUGAUCAUCUGUUAAAAGCUUUGAACUUAAGCAGGACUAGUGCAGCAUACUCCUUACUACUUGCUGGUGCAACUCACCAUCUGUUCCGCUCUGAAUCGUCUCUAAUUGUAUCUGUUGCAAAUUUCUGGACAAGCGCAGGGGAGUCAUUGUUAACUCUUGCUAAAAGCUCAGUCUGGAGUGAGUUUGUCCACCGGGAUCUGCCUGUGUCAAAUCCAUGUUCCACUGCAAGUUAUAGAUGUCCAAAAUGCUCAUUGAUAGACAAAUUUGAAGCUUGUUUAUUCUAUGGUCAAGUUCAACAUGCAGAUUUUGACGAUGUCUCAAGUGAAUUCAUUGAUUGCGUCUCUAACUUUACACAGAAUGUUUGGAAUAUUUUGGCUCUCAGUUGCCAGUACCUUAGAUUGAUUAAGAGUCCUAUUGAUUUCAGUUGGCUUGGUACCACAAAAGAUUCCAGUGUAGGGGAAGUUCUGAUUCGGUCUAGUGGCACUAAAGCGGGUUCUUGUGGGACUGAGAGAAGCAUUUCUGGAAGUGAAGCAGAGGGAUACACAGCCCAGGUACGGAUAUGUAUUUUUAAGCUCGGUGUCCAUUGCUUACUAUAUGGAGGAUAUCUAGCGAGCAUAUGUUAUGGUAAUUCCCAUUUGACCUGUUAUGUUCGUAAUAUUUUAGAUAUGGAAGGGAUAUUAUUGAAUCCUUGUCAUGAACCAAAUUGAGUUUGAGAUCUUAGAAGUUAAAUUAUUCCUGUUUUGGUGUUAAUUGCUGUGUUAUUAUACUCGUUAAGAAUCUGUUAAAAAUGUUGGUUGCAUAUAUCGUCUUCUCUGCUUGUGAUUUUUCGCCUCGAACUCUAUUCGUCUUGCAUGAUGCCCCAAGGAAUCAGCCACACGUAUCAGAAGUUUGUGUCAACGGAUUCAAUUUGAUAGACUACAGUGGGUUUCAAAAUAGAAUAAUCCGCUAUAGCUGUUUCAUAUAUCAUUUCGGUUCAGUCAAAUUAAAGAACCAAAAUUGAAAUCACAAUUGGAUUCGAUUUGGAAACAUCUGAAAUACAAAAUUGAAACCACAAUCGAAUUAAAGAACAAAAAUUGUCAUCUCCUGAUGCAUCCCUGUUUCUAUUUGUGUUCGUGUUUGUGUCAAAAAUACAUCGUAAGAAUGUUAUAACAGUUGCAUACUUAAAGCGACGCCCUACUGAAUGUUACAAUAGAUGCAUACAAGACCGUCGCUAAUGUCAAUGUUUCUUCUUUUUGUUGGACUUUGAGUUGGAGCCAUGCUCAUUUUUAUGUCGCUUUUCCCCACUCUUGUGACUCUCUCUCUGUUUUCCUUUAUCCAUUUUGUUUCUACUUGAUUUCACGCUAACGAGACCACCAGCAGGUAGGUUUGCACCGCCAUUCUGUAAUGCAUUCUCAAAGUCUGCAUCUCUGUCCCCAAUCGCGUACUGUUGAAGCAACUUGGGAUCUAAUGACCCCUCCGAGUUGGAUCUCAUCCCAUCCUGUAUGUGCGUAGUCAAGUCAGCCCAACUCUUGGGAUUCAGAACGCGGGAAAGAGAGGCAGUUCAGGUAACACGAAGGUAAGGAAGGAAUAAAGCGUACCUCAACUUUUCUUGCAGCAUCAUUGAGAUCAUCAUCAACAGAGAUCUUGUGAGGUUCCAAGAGAGUCUGAACCAAAAUUUCCGAAUCAGAGUGGAGUUACAACAUAGGCAGAAGAAAAGCACAGUAGCAUACAUACACGCACGCACGCACAAUUAUAAUGUGAUAGACGAUGUUUAAGCUUGCAUUAAGAAACACAAUAAUGUAAACUUAGCGAUUACAUAUCAAACAAAAUAGUUCAGGUACCAAAGUGGCUCACGCGCAACACACAUGUCAAUAUCAUAUAGUUAAGCCAACUAGAAUCAUAAUGCAUCCUACGACAUGAAAUUAUUAGAAAGAGAUGGAAACCACCAACAUAUCAUGUACUUUCCAUAAGAAAAAAAAGGGUUACUGCUUUGCUGAACUUACUUCUUUUGGUUUAGGCAAGGUUGACACAAGGCCCUCAGAUGCAAUAGCGUAUAGAUAUUUGUGAAACUUUUUCAUAACUUUUAUAAACAGAGACAAUAUUUGCUGCCUUUCCAGUUUCAUCAACCCCUGGAAAACGUGAAUGUAAGUAAAAAUCUACACCUGAUAAGAAUGAAAUAAAGAGCAGAAAUGACGCCACCAAGUAGAGUGUUUUGUCUUUGCAAGUGGGUUUGAUUGCGUGCUCGCAUUGCAUCUAUGUGACUGGUAUAGCCAAGCAAACCAUAUGAGUAACAAGUAGAGAAACAAACCUCAAUAUAGGAGAUAUCUUGAUUCUGUAAGCCAAUGCAGAGCAAUAUGGAAGCCUGGGCACCUGUCAAUGUCACUGGAAGUUUCUCUUGGAAAUACAGAUGUGAAAGCGUUGGAACAAGAUCCAAAAUCUGUAAAAUAAAAGCAUAACUUUAACAUGUGUAAAGUUAUAAACAAACGAUAACUAGAGUACAAGAGGACCUCAGUUUAGAAAAUGACACUUAAUUUCAAAUUCAAAUGGACCCCAGGGUUUAAACUGUAAUUUUAAAAACAAUUCGCAGGUAAUUUGAAGAAAGUAAGGUCUGUUGGUUAAGGAUGAAAAUGCAAUAAGCCCUCGGAUCCCUCCUCCCCACUAUCAUCUAUGCCUAACAGGAGGAAGAACAUCUUGACACAUUCAAACUGGCAGCCUUUCCCAAAAAACAGAAGGAAGCAGAUAAUCCACUCAAACCAUAAUCAACAAAAAUGGACGACAUGCCAUUGACCAGGAUGCACUGCACCUUCCUGAGAACCGCACAACAAAUGGGUUCACCUCCCUCAGGGGCAUACCCACAAGGGGGUGGGAUUGGGUGGGAGGGGAAGAGAAGGGGUCUAAUAGCCUAAUCGCUGUUGAUUUCAUCUUUUUAUGUAACACAGAGCACGGGAUGAAACAUCGGCCACAGAAUCCUACACACAAAUUACUUGUAAAGUACACAAAUUCCCCUUCUCAAACAAGCAAUUUUGAACUUUUAAUGUGUAACUGAACAUAUAUAUACAUAUAAUUAGAUCAAUAACUAAACACAAUGUCCUAAUAGUUCACUUUUGAAAAAGAUUAUUCAUAAAACAUUGCAAGAGUAAUAUAUGUUCACAAUCAUGGUAUCAGAUUGUCCACAGUAAGAAAACAAAUAUUUCACCACUGUCAACUAAAAAUUGUAUCACAAUCACAAUCAUAUUGCCACACUGAGACGAUAAUUCUAUCACAAAGGAAUACAAUUUUUCUUUUGUAAUGCAAUAUUACUUUCUUUUUCUAAAGGAAAGCAUAUUUUGUCUUGUAACGCAAAUAUCUUUUUUGAUUCUAAGGGAAGUAUUUCUUGUUCUGUAAUGCAAACAUUACUUCUAUUUUUAAUAUGAAUGUAUGGAAUCAAUUAGUAAUCCUAAGAUAAAAAAAUCCCAAAACACUACAUAGCACUAUGACAGGGCAAGUUGGCAAUCAACCAUUGUUCAGAGAACUUACCAUAUGAAAGUCAGCAAGACUGCUGGUGUAGGCCUCCAGUCGCUUCAUAUCAUAAGGCGAAAGUAAGUCUGUGAUAGACCGUAAGAAUCCAUCUGUGGUAGACGAUUUGGGUUCUCCAUCCUUGUAAUUGAUCUUAGGAUCUAAGAUGCUGGAAAAUUAUUAGUUAGUACGAGCACUUGAACAAUAAGCAUUUAUCAGAAUGGAACUUUUAAUAGUACCUCAUAGCGAGCCUAUAAUCCAUUGUACGAAAACUAUAACCCAAUAGUCUCAAAAAUCUUCUCCUGAAAUCUAGGUAGCCAACAAAUAAUCAAGCUGUGAACUGAAAUACAAAAAAUCUGCACAAAUUUAAAUAGAACAAAGGUUUUCCAAAGAAAAAUGGGCCCACCUAGGUUGAAUGGACGAAAAUCACUGGUUUCAAGUUCAUCAUUCUUCAAAGAUUUGAGGACCAUACACGUAUGCUCCCCGGUCACACCACUCUAUUACAUUGAAAAGAAAAAUGAAAAAUUAUUGUUUAAUCAGUCAUUCAUUCACAAAUGAUAAUAUUCAAAAAAACAGUAAACGGAAAAAAGGAUUCAGUAUGGAGAGGGGAAUCCAUCUUAACUGGAAUAUGUCCAAUAUAGAAUGGAGCAAACUUAUGUUUCCACCAAAACCUGAAAAGGUCCAAGGUAAGCCCAAAGGAGACACCAAUAUAAUGGAGCUUCUCUGGUCGCCUUUCACGAAGAUGAACAAGCAAAUGAGGAAGAUCUGUUCUAGGUUUUAUACUUUCUUCCAGCAAUGAAACCUAUAAAUAAAAUAGACAUAGGUAUCAUUCCGAUAAACAAUAUCAAGGCACAGGCGGCAGGUUGAUUAAUACCAAACAAACAAACCAAUACAUGAUAAUAUACUUUGAUGUCAUUAUGAUUAAAAUUAACACAACAAAUGAUCAUUCACAAAAGUUUGUCAAAUUAUAUUCAAACACAGAAAUUGUUCUACAAUCACCGGAAUGAAGCUUAACCAACUCAAACACUUCGACAGAACAAGAAUUGCAUUACCAGAAACCUAUGAGUUACAAAAUUGCCUCCAAUUGCAAUAAUAAUACAUAGAAUAGUCUCGUAUAAGCAGUUCUCCAACCUAUUAAUUAAAAAUAUUUAUAAAAAAAAAAAAACUAAGCUUGGUGAUUGUAGUUCACCUUCUCAGCAGCUUCUGUGACUCUGAGUGGGGGAGUCUCAACAUCUUCAACGUCCAGUUCAGAAAUAGGAGCAAACUGUCCUUCGUAGUACCUGAGGAGAAAUAAACCCUUAACACCCAUUUUUUCAAAUAUAAAAACAUAAAUGUGAAGCAUCAACUUUUAGAACCAAAGAGAUUCAGUGCAAUUUUCAUGUCAAAACACUUUUAUCUCAAUAAUGAAGUACUUAUGAGUUACAUUGAUACAAGAGCAAUGCAUCCCACAUAUCACACACAUUCCUUAUAUCUGGAUCCCCAACAAUAGCAAUCCAAUGUCACCCACAUAGCACAUGAUACAUACCAGAGGUGUCCCUAGAAUGUCCACAUCAGCCAUUCCUUAUAUCUGUGUCCCCAAAAACAUUUGCAGUAAAAAGUACAUGGACUUAUGAGCACAAAGGGAUAACGGACAUGUAUGGGUUGACUUGAGAGAUAAACCAAGUAAAGUAAGUUCAAGAAAAAAUCUAGGACCAAAUAGGAUACAAGGUCAGAAUCAGUGUGACCCAUCUAAAAAGUUAGGACCCCACAUUAAUUUGUGCAGUCAACAACGAGGAUCCAUCUUUGGAUUAUUAUCCUAAAACGCUCUAUCUUUGGAUUAUAUCCUAAAGUGCUGCUGGUUAAGCUUGUUUCUGGUUUUUCUCUGUUGGAAAUUUCAAUUACUAACGAAAUAUCCAAUCUUCAUUUAAACAUACAGAUUUAAACUCAACUGUUGGCACUGCAGACUCUUGGCCAUUGUUGGGAUUGAAAUAAGCUAGAGUUUCUCAAGAUAAAUGCGGAUGAGGUGGGUUUUAUUUGAGAUAGCGAAUUCCAUGUGUUUGUGGAUUUAUUGCCAAAGCAAUUUGGGAAGAUCCCUGCUGUUUCCUCCAGAUGGAUGGGGUUAUAAUUUCAUUGUAACUUUUCUGAAGUAAGUUUUAGUUGGACUCCUUUUCUUUGCAAUGGACAACUUCUCCUCCUUUCCUUUAGAAAAUGCUUUGCUUUGCUGAAUUUUUCGUAACUCUUAGAAAUGUAACCCAAACUAAGAUGAAAACCCCCAACAUGACCGUAUUUUAAUAUGCUAUCACUUCUAAUCCUCUAUAUCUUUCCACUUGUUUCUCCAACUACCAUCAUAUGACUCGAGAGUUGUAUUGUGAGAAAGUCAUCUGUAUAUCAAAACUGAAAUCAAAUGAUCAUCUCUUCAGCACCCACAUGGUCUAUGUUCUAUAGCUUUCAACCCAAGUGAACUGAAAGCAUGAGACUCACAUUUUGAGUUGCGACUUUAUGUGCCUGAGCCAGGGUGCAUAUGCAUGAUUGCUUUUCAUUCAUUUUAGAAAUCAUUUGAAGCAUUGCUUCAGACAUAUAAUCUUCAAUCUUUUCACCUUUUUUUUUAUGACAAACAGUAGCGUUAGUGGGUUAAAAGUUUAUUUGUUAGGGGGAGGGGAAUCGAUGGGCAUCAAACCCGCACCAGGGUGCAUAUGCAUGAUUGCUUUUCAUUCAAAGUGUAGCAAUAUGGGGCUAAAAGAAUCACUCAGUCAAUCUUUCUCAACACCUUAGGCAUCCACAUACACAUUGGGAUCAUGUAUGUGAUCUACAAAAACGUUUAGGUGGGGAAUAACUCAAAGAGGAGCAUACCUUGUCAAUAGUUCCACUGCUUGUGAUCCAUAUCCAAUCUACAACAACGAAAAAUAAAUUACCAUUUCAACAGAUCCCUGGUUAUAGAUUACCAUUUCAACAAAAUCCUGGUUAUACAUAUUGCUUUGGAAACCAUAAUGAGAGAAUACCUUCAUGGCACUUGGAUGUGUAGCAAUUCGUACAAUCCGAGCACCUGAAAGACUGGGAAAAACUGUGUCCUGAAAUUGCUCACAGAAUUUCCAUGGUAUCUGGUCACCAGAAGGCUGAUGACCAUCACUUAAACUUUUCAUUGCAGAUUCACGAGAGAUCUUUCCCUCAAGGCAGACCUAAGAACAAAAUGAUAGCACAUAAAAUGUUGAGCAUCAAAGAAUUAGUGUUUUAUAGAAGAUGAAGUACGUGUUUAAAGUGUUGUCCUUUAUUGCUAUUUCACAUAAGGUAAAAUUAUAAAUAAAAAAACUAAUAAAAUUUUGGGUAUGCGUUAAAUAACUAAAAGAAAUAAUAGUCCUGAACUAGGGGAAGACAGUCAAACCUGAAUGACACACAAAAUAUCAGGAAGCUGAUUUUUUGACUCAUCAACAGGGCCUGCACGUGCAAAUUAUAAUCAAGUCCAGCCAAAUAGCGGCAAAAAAAGAAAGACCAGUUCUAACGUAACAUAUAUACCAAGUAGCACAAACAGGUGGUGAGCCGGGGCAUCAGCCAUUAGUUGCAAAUCAUUUGGAGAAUUUUUGUAGUGGGAGGCAACAUAUAGAGCCAUCAUCCGCUGCAAGUAUUAGAAUAUGUAAGUUCACUAAUAUGAAAAUGAGAAUCACUAGUCUGACAUUACUUGAACAUGUAAUUACCUGUAAGAACAACUCGCUAUCUUUAUGAUAUGAAAAAAGCGUAUCACAGUUUACGUAGUACAGAUCGCACUCACUGGGUGCAGGUAACCUAGCCGCCAAGAGAGAGAGAAGAGAGAGAGAGAUCAUUAAUAAAGGUAAGGGUUAUAAUGGAGAUGGUUACAUCUUCCUCGGUUCUGACUGUCUAAGCAAAUGUUUUUACCCGUUAAGUUUAGGGAUAUAAUUUGUGAUAUCCAAGCAAAGUAAACCAUGAAGCCAGGAUUCAAUCGGAUCACCAGAAGCAUAUCUGAUAGAUUCUUUCAAUUCUAUCUUUUUGAAAAGACGACCUACAAUCAGGGACAUUUAUCAAUUCAGAAAAUUAUGUCCAAAUAUCACAAAAUAGUUUUUAAAAAAUUAUACAUUGCUCACUUGCAAGCGCCAACAGUUCAAGUAUUUCAGAAACAAUAAUGUUAAGAGAAAGCAGAAGAAACAUUGAAUUUUGAAAAUAAAUUCAAGUUUUGGGGGGAAAGGGGGAUUUUGAUCCAACCUAAUUCAAGAUGAGAAUACAAAACACGGCCAAUAAGGAAUAAGCAUACCAGAUGUAGGCCCCUUAGCAGACACUUGGCUUUGCUCUUCCAAUUGCUGUAGAAGUUUUAGGGACAAAGACCGACCAGUACCUUCAUAGCUUUCAGUGUAAAAUAAAUGUCCUUUAGUAUUUAAAUUGCACUUAGAUUUUUUUUUUUUUACCAAAAGUUGAAUUCAGAGUUGACUUAUAAAUAGAAAGACAUCAAGCAUGAGUCAAGGAAAAGUGGAAACAGCCCAUGAAAAGUGAAAGAUCUUUCAUUCCCCCCCGCGGCCGUAACAGAAAGUGAAAAAGUGAAGUGAAAUAUGUUUCAUGAGACUGUUAAAACCAAAAAAGAACACAUGAUAAGAAUACACGACAUGAAGGAAGAAGAACAUGGAUGAAUCUUACCCAUUAACAGUAGAUGAAAGGAAGACCAGAUAAGGACCAAGCAAAGACUUCACUACUGGUAGUGGAAUAGCAGCUGCUUCAUCAACAACCAACAGUUCAACUUGGGAAAGCUUUUCAUGCUCAUGUGGCCGUAUAUACUGCAAGUACAAGUAACAAAAGUAAAAAACAAAUAGCCCCAAAAGCAAUGAGCAGUACAAAGUUCUUUCUUUUAGGCUACAUGAGGUGUAAAGGUCUAGACCACCUCACAAUCUCACAGGCAUGUUGAGUGCCUCUAUACCAUACAUACUGGAUUAGUGCCAGGAAGACACAUUAGGUUGACCAAAAAGUUUGGCGUUUCAGGAACAUGCUUUUAGAAGCAAGCUUCAGUAAUCACAAACCAUCUAAAUUAUGUUCAAUAUGCUCACACCAAUAACAAAAAUGAUGCACUUGGGCAAAAGUACAAUAGAAUUUUUGGAGUAGUCAAACAAAGACAACCACUAAUCAUAUAUGAGGGCAUACGACAUUUGAUGGGCAAAAGGUGAACACACUCAUGGCUAUUGUGAUGCGGCUAUCCAAUAGAAGAAUAUUCUCUAUUACAACUUGGUUAUCAACUUUUCAUGAGUAACAAUUCCUCCAUGUAUUUGUAUUUUGGUAUCAACUGACUAAACAAAAUCUUUAUUGCUAUUUUUUUAUAGAAAACGAGAUUUUAUUAAACAGCUAAAAAACAAUACAACACUUAGUGGACUAGGAAGUCCACCAUCAAAACGAAACAGCCCUGACAUAUGCCUCAACAUUCACCUCCAUCAUUAUAAAACAGAUCUGCAACUAUCUCACUGCAACUCCCCAAUCCAACAAAAUUACAUAAAAUGAAAGAUCCCAAAACCUUGGAGAGAGAGAAGCCAUAAGAAUGCCCAAUUCUUUCCCAAGAAUUCUCUUGUAAAUCCCCACUCUAAUUUUCAAAGGUUGCAAACUUGAAAUUAACAUAGAAGGUAACUGGCUUCAGAGUCAACUAGGAUAAUACUGGGCAUAUAUGCAGAGAGUAGGCAUAGUAGCAACUUUCAGGGUAUGGAAUAAUACAAAAGGAAAGGGAAGACCACAGAAUUCUCUCAGUCAUCUUAACUUGAUUUGGUACUAAGAAUAAGUUAUGUAUACACUUCCCACUGGCCCAUCUGUACGUUAAUAUAGAAAUAGAUUAUAUCCUGGCAACAAGGAAGUGAAAUACUCCUAUUUUUAUAUCAAUAUUGGGCACAAAUUAAGAGUUCAUCAAUAUAAUUUUACCUCAAUUGUAACCAACUGUGCAUAUAAGUUUACCUGAAUUGUUUGUCUGUGCUGCUUGUAUAUAUUGAUCUGUACAGUUGCUUUCUUCAACAAAGGGUCACUACUUUUCUGUACAUCAUAAUCUAUAUGUUCCUGCAAACAUAGUUUACAACUGUAAGCUCAAUAACUAGUGCACUGUUCGAAGUACAUGAUUGAAAAAUGAAGAAAACGGAGUGACCUUAUAACAAUUAAUGAAAGAUAAAAUGUAGUUCACAGAAUAAAACAUUCAAACACCACCAUCUUGAUAGUUAAACAAUUUCACUGUAAAAGCUAUUAAACUUAGCAGGAAAAAAAAUUUAAACUUUAUCUAACAUUUGAAUCUACAAUUUUCAAUUAGCAACUCUUGUCACAAAUGUUUAUUAGUGGGGUACGUUCUAAGAUAUUGUUAUUUGCUAAUUGUCGAGGAUUAUUUGGGAGUUAAAUCUCACAAGAAGGCGUAAAGAUCACAUUAGAAUUAGAUAUUUUACUAGGAAGCUAAAGAUCACAUUAGAACCACCCGCAGGAAUACAAAAAAACGACAUACCUUAUAGUCCAGUUGAUCAAAACCCUUGCAAACAAAUUCGAACAAGGUUCUUAAGUUCUCAGGGCUGGGUGCAGUUACAAAUAUAUUUGAAUACCUGUGAAGAUAUAUUUGUAUCGUCAAAACAUAGUACAUGAAUAUGAGUGUAGACAGCUACACAUACACCAAAACAGUUUUAAUACAUUGUAAAAGGCAUACUACCCUGCAGCAAUAGCUCCGGAAAUUGCCAAACCAAGUGCAGCCGAUUUUCCACGGCCUCGAGCAGCAAGCAAGGCAACAGUACUUCGGAGUGUCUUGUCCAAGAUUGCAUCAAGAAAUGUAGCAACAGCAUUUCCCUGUUGAAACAUUUACCAACUCAAACUAUGAGUCAUAUUAGUAAAUCACACAUGAUAGAAAAACUCAAAACUAAUACAAAUCAGAGAGAGUGCCUACCUGGUCCAACGUACAACAUUUCUUUAUUAAAGGGCCAACAGGAAAGGCAUCACUCAGCUGCUCUUUUAGAUCCUUCAGUUCCCUUUGUGACUCUGAUAUCCCUUCAGAGUCCUUCAAUCAUGAUCAGAAAACAAGAAAAAAGUUAUCAAAGUUAUCAAAGCUUCACAAACUCCUAGAAAGUAUCCUAAUAACCAUUCGGUAUACACACACUUGAAAAAUUACUUUUAUUCUUUUUGUCAUCUCGCAUAAGAUGCCACGAAAAUAAAGCAUUCCUCGAUUUAUCAGUUCCGUCCUAUAGAAAAGUUACAAGGCUAAAAGGUUACCUCUUUCACUGGAACUGGGGUAAUUGACCUCAUAUGAGAUGAAAUUGGUAAAAUAUUCAGCUCAUCAUCCAUUACUACACAUGAUUUGCAUGACGCAAGUGACAAUAAGAAACGCUCGUUAAAACGUCCAGUAGCCUUAGAAUGGGAUUCAGUUCGAAACCUAUCAUGAACAUCCUGAAAUCAAGAGGCGCUGAUAAGACUGUAUGGAGAUUUUUGCAUUUGAGAGAACGAGAAAGACAGUGUUGCAAAUAAAACAUGACAUAACGGAAUUGUUAUCAAAUAUAAUAUGUGGUGCAUGGCUAUUGCUAUAUUCGUUCUAAGUCCAUAAUGUAGUAAAACUAGAAACUACCUCAACAAGAAGAACAAAUAUUAUGAGGAAACCUAGUUGUUUUUUCUUCUUCUUUUUGGGGCUAGAACAUGAAAAGAAACAACUAGUCUACAUAGGCCCAACUGGGAAACUUAUAUGUUCAGCAGCAUUCUCUUAAAGAAAGUCAAGCAAUUGAAUCUACCAAAAGUCUUCUUGUAGCCAAGCACAUCAUUACGAAAAAAUUCGGAAACUUUUAACAUGGCUAGUUUUCAAGAUUUUGCGGUAUAUAAUAAGCAUAACCAUGCUGGCCUAAAAACUAAGCAUUAAUUGUGUGCAUGCGUAAGAGAAAGAGGUAUUAUUAUAUGCAUACCAUAACCAUGGUGUAGAGGUUGGUGAGUGAGGUUAGAGAAUGAAGCAACAAUAUGACUAGUCCACCUCCCUCCACUGUCUCUAUCGUUCUUGCUAGUAGAUUUGGAGUCAAGGCCUCAAAAUCCUAAUGCAGGAGAUCAAACUUAGUCAUAAAACUUAAAUCAAUUAUACAAGGGGUCUUGGCCAAACCAGUAAAUUUGUAAGUUUCAAGUUACCUGAAGUAUACACAUUCCAAAGGUAUUACCAAGAACUCUUUCUGAAUCCUUGUACAAGCAAUAAGUCAAUCCCCCACUUUCAACAAAAAGUGAGAAAGGAUCAACCUUCUCGGGAUCAAGCAGCCCCCUCUGCAUCAUCUUUUUUACUUGCUUAGCACGUUUUUUCUUGUGACUGCAUCAUGAAGUAGUCAAACGCAACGAAUCAAUAUAUUUUAAAAACGAAAUUCCGCCUUGCCUUAUAAUAAGGUGAAGAAUGGAAGGUAGAAGAAAUCAACCUGCUGAGCUCGAGCUUGUCCUUGUAGCACCACAACACAGUCGGGCGCGAUUUCUUUACUUCAUUGCUUAGCAUAUAAUGAAGAUUCACAAUCUGAAGACCAUAUAAAACUCCAUAUUAGCCAUUUUCCGUUAGUUUUCGAUAGAUUUUCGAUGAUAUUUCUUACCUUGUUUGAGGUUUUUAGUGUUACUCGGUGAGUAUUGCAGGUGAAAACAAGAAACAGUAAAACUGGUAAAAUUUUCUACCCAAUUCAAUUUAAAUCAUUGUUAUAACUCCUCAAAUUGAAUAGGAAUAGCAAAUAGGGAAUGGGAUAGGAAAGGCAGAAGAAAUUAGGAGUACCUGGUCACGGGAUUUGUCGCCGACGAUGACGAACAUGGAGCGGUGCCGGUUUUUGACGCCAUUGCUUAUUAGGGUUCGGAUUCGUUCGUCCACCUUCUUCCUCAUUCUCUCUCUCUCUUCUCUCUCUGUGCAAUUAGGUUUAGGGUUUAUACCAUAGGGCAGUUGUCGUCGUCGGGCAGGGUUUAAGCCGAACUAGUGAGAGAGAGACUAGACAUCGCGGAGAGAUAUUGAGUUCAUCUCAACCGUUGAUUGGCUAUCUGAUGGCUGUUAUCAAAGCUGACAUAAAAAUGAAAACUCAACACGUGGCCAAGUAUUUUUUUUCUCUCUUUUUUGGCUUAUUUAUUGAUUUGCCCCAGAAAUUAUUUUUUUUGUCUUACUCUAGGUCAUGAAACAGAAUUUAUCUUACUUUAUCUUCUAAAACUACCAAAAUCGAGUCAUUUCACCCAUGUUUUGUCAAUUCUAUCUCAUAAACGUUAAAUAAAAGGGAGUCUAAACAUUUCAUACCAUGCUAGCAAAGAUGAGCCACUGUUGUUGGUGAGGUACGAAAUUUUCAAACUUUCCUAAACCUUUAAAACUUAAAAGGUAUCUUGAAUAUGAACGUAAAUGAGGUAAAGUUGCUCAAUUUUGGCAAUUUAUGAAGGGUAAAAUGAGACAAAUUCAAUUUAAGGCUAAAGUGAGAGUAAAUGGCAGUUUCAUGAGAUAUAUCAAUAAAUAAAUCUUUUCUAGAAUACAACUAAAUUAUGUACUCACGGUAAAAGAUAAAUUAAUAUCGAACUUGUCAUUGACGAUAUCUAAACAUAAAACCUUUCAAGUUUUUACCUAUAAGAAUAAAUUUGGUAUAGUAAUUUCUUUUCUAAUUUAAAGUUUCCCAUAGAGUUAUGACGAAUUUGAUACCAAAUUAGGCUGUCAUUGUGUGGCAUAGCCGAAUUCCUCCUCCCUUACUUUAAAAAUAACGAUGUACUCAAAAAAAGUUUCCCAUAGAGUUAAAAUGAUCUUUAGUUGCUUGCUGAGACAACCCAUAUGUAUAAUAAGACAUUGAAAAAGGUGCCUCUGUCAUUUACACUCACACGAUCGAAUAAGUAGCUCCGACAGUUGCAUCAUAAAAUUAAGGGGUUUUCCGAGAUUGUAGUAAGGUUGACGAUUAAAGUUUGGGAAAUUUUCAGGUUAAGGAAUCAAGGGAUCACAUUUUCAAGUUUCGUAGGCAUUCUCUUUCCUUUGGAAUGGUGUUGGAAUCCGUCCUGAAGUUGCCCAUUCCUUUGCUCUUGAUUUUCAGAGUUGGAUAGCUAUAAACCUUAGGACACAUUGUACCACCAUACAUGGUUUACCUUGGAACCUUAUCUUUAAUUCAACUCUCUGGCAUUGCUGGAAAUGGAGGAAUAACUUUGUCUUCAAUGAUGGCCAACAACCGCUUGACUCACCCCAGAAUUUCAUUUUUCAAUUUGCAAGGGAAUGGUGUGAUGCGAACAAGUGUUCUUCUAGUAAGCCUCCUAGACAAAAUCAUCUCAAUCCAUUGGAUUCGUUUGCCAAUUGGUAUACAAAAUCAAUACAGAUGGGAGUUGUAAAGACCCAUUUAGCCACAUAAGUGCUGGAGGUUUGCUUCGUAAUUCUGAAGGGAAAUGGAUUAAGGGAUUUGCUGCUAAUUUGGGCAGAGGAACCAUCAUGGAAGGUGAGCUUUAAGGGUGGUUUCAUGGGACUUUCUAUAGGUUGGGAUGAGAGUUGCAAGGAAGUGAUUAUUGAAUGUGAUUCUUAUGCUGCUGUUACUUUGAUCCAACAACCUAUUUUAGUUCCCACUCUACAAUCUCAUUAUUGACUGCAAAGAAGCCAUUGAAAGAAAUUGAAGAUGUGAAGUUACUCAUAUCUAUAGAGAAAAUAAUGUCUUAGCUAAUCACACGUCUGACUUAGGUCAUGGGUUAUCACUUGGUCUUCAUGUUUUUGCUUCUCCUUCUACCAUUGCUACUAAUUUUAUAGUUUCUAAUACUAUUGGCAGGGCCCUCCCUAGAGCUGUUUUUUAGUAGCUUUUUUGUUUUGCUUGUUGGGCUUUGCCCUCUUCUGUACCCAAAAAAAAAAAAAAAAAAAAAAAUAUUGGGAAAUUUAUUUGGACCCAACUUUUUUAUCUCUACACCCAAAUAAUAUUUUCUCUUAUCUAAUCUUCCAAAUUUGUCCUUAAAUAACAAACAUUGAAGUUUUCUUUGUAUCUCUACACCCAAACCCCACGAUCCACCACUGUAGGGCGCUCCAUUAUUUCCGACAAACCCAACUCAAACGCCAGCAACACUAAAAUCGACAAAUCAAGACUGGAGAACAAAUGGUGUAGGAGUCCUAAUGUGAAUAUUAAAGCAAACUUAAGUUGCAAAACCCUUUUUUAUUUCAAUCGAUGAAAGGACCUUGGGUUAUGAACAUAAGGAACCUAUUAGGGUUUAGAGGUCCCCUCCACAUCAUAUGCAUAAGCCCUUUUUCUUCAUUCAUUAAUUUACGGAAGGGAAAAUUAAUACUAUUAUUCUCAUAAAAAGUGGGAAUACCAAGGAAAGAGAUCCUCUCCACACCAUAUAUUUUUCUUUUCUGAGUAGUUAUAUCCAAUGGAGAGAGGAAAACAAGAGCACCAAUGGUCGCAGGUUCACCGGAGAAAAUGAAGGUGCAGUGGUGAUGUGAGUUUAGGGUUAUUGGGUGUAAAGAUAACAACUUUAAUAUUUAUUUUCUCAUUUUUAUUUAUUUAAGGGCAAAUUUGAAAGUUUAGUAGAGAAAAUUUGUUAGUUGGGUGUAGAGAUAAAAAGGUUGGGUCCAACAAAAUUUCUCAUAAAGUUUAAUCACGCGAUUAAGUUCUUGUGCAAUGAGUAAAUUGUAGCAAUGACCCAUCAACUAAAAAUCCAUUAUUAUUGAUCCCUCAACUCAUCAAAAUAUGUAGUUAUGGUCAUUUUCGUCAACUUUGUAAGAAUUUUGUCAAAAUAAAUUAUGUUGGAAGGACCAUUGUUACAAUUAAGGUCCUUCAACUCAUCAAAACAUGUAGCUAUGGUCAUUUUCGUCAACUUUGUCAAAAUGAGUUAUGUUGGCAUGACCAUUAUUGCAAUUGGGUUAAAGUUGAGGAAUCAUUGCUCCAAUUGGGUUAAAGUUGAGGGAUCAUUUCUCUAGUUAGAUUAAAGUUGGGGGACCAAUGAUAAUUAAGUUUUAGUUAAGGGAUCAUAGUUGCACGUUUUGAUGAGUUGAGAGAUCAAUGAUAAUGAAUUUUUAGUUAAUGGAUCAUUACUCCAAUUGAGUUAAAAAUAAAGGACCAUUGCUACAAUUUACUCUUGUGCAAUAGAAGAUUAAUUUGGCCGAACAACCUGAUUAAGGUGCCUACUUUCUCUUUAAUUCAUUGGUAUCAUUUAUUUUCCCUUAAGCUGAAUUAUGCUCAAUUUAUGUAUCAAUAUUGUAAAGUUGUCUUUGUUAGAGUAAUUUGGACAAUAUAAAUUGAAAAUUAUUUGUGUAUAUGGAAAAGAUUAACCUCAGGGGUCACUUCGCCGGACUCCGUAGCAAUCUCCACCACUCCAAUCGUAAUGGUGAGUAAAUCACUUGUGUUUGUUUCCAUUUUUUCAAUUGGAAAUUGGGGGUUUUGAAUUCAUAUUUUGUCAAUUGGUUUUGUGAGCACUGAGAAUACACUACGAGCUUGUGUGUGUGUACAAUAUGUUGGAUUUGAUCUUUAUAAAGAAUGCGAGAAAUUGGGGUUAGGAAAGAGAAGAAAAGGAAACAGAACUCGAACUUCGAUCUUCAUUCUUGUUACUAAAGGAGAAAACCGAAUUUGAACCGGUUCAUACGUAAUCGAACCGAAUUUGUAUAGUUCGGUUCACCCCUUAGUACCGAACCGUACCAUACCAAAAAAAAUUUCUUGAGUUUGGUUUUGAUACAUCCCUCAUACUGUACCAUACCAAAUCGUGGCCAGACCUACUGAAUACAAAACUUAUAUCUGGGUCGUAAGUCGUAAGGCCUCCAAAAAAAAAGUUCAUAUUAUUCAUACCAAUCGGACAAAUCCCGCACCCAAAAACAAUGGCUAGAUAGAAAGUUCAAUUAUAGAUUAGGUAAUCUAUCCUUUUCAACUUAAAUGCACAUUCAUGAUGGUUAUGCAAAUCAUAUUAUGUUAACAAAUGCAACAAUUAAUUAUAUUUAUCCAUUUGGAAUGAUAUAUAUUUUCAAAGAUGGAAUUACAGACCCCGUUGACGUUGAGGCCAUUGCAUGAGAGAAUUUUAGAUGAUUUUCAAUUAAUUUAUAUUAUUGUUGUGAUAACCAUAAUAAUUAUUUUCUAAAUGUAAAACUAUAUUAAUGAAAUUUUCUUUGUCGGUCAAAAGAAGAUGAAAAGAUAUCUUUAUCUUCUAUCACAACAAAAAAAUUAAGGAUAUUAAUGUAAUAGGCUAAUAGCGAUGGGGUGAAGAAAUGGAACUAUCCUAAAUAGGCAGUUGCUGGUUAUAUUGGAUCAGGUGGUCUGAAUGAUUGGAUAAUUAGCAAAUAAAAAGGUUCCAUUUUUCAUGGACCCUCAAGUGGAAAUAUGGGAUAAAAGAUGGCAUAUACCAUUUUAUCCAUUUGUGAUUGUACAUUUUGAUGGUUGUGAUUUCACCCGAUGGCGCGGCAAGUGUGGAUUGGGAUAAGGAUGGUUUUGGUCUAUCAUCAAAGAUGGUUUGAUGUUCACGACUGGAUUUUACAACGCAUCCAAGUGCAUGGGUUCUAUAAAUACAGAGUUGCGCACAAUAAAAAAGUACAAAGGACCUUCAAACCUUUCACACACUCUGAGAAACUCCUGAUUCUCCCAACUUCGUCAACACAUCUUCAAUUUGGAUUAACAUCACUGUUUGUCAGUGAGGAGUCCUUAGUCUUCUCGUCUCAUUAGCCCUCUAGGUGAAGUGAGGUGUUACUGAAUUACUUGAGUAUUCAGCACAUUGAAAGUCGAACCUUAUUUGAACUUCACAGUAGUUAGCAAUCUUAUCUUCAGGUUUUAGAACCCAAUGCCAAGACAUAUUCCUUCCUCGACAGUGAUGGUUUGUACACAAAAGUUGGUUUGUACACAUAAGUCAGUAUUGUGUUUGACACACCAUCCCAUUCAUUCUACUAGCCCACAAACGCGUGGACUCGUCCAAAAUUACCCCACUCUCGGCCCGUUCACUUGCCCACUCGUCCCACGCGGCCCGUGAGUCUUCAGUGCCUGAUAGGGGGGCCUACUGUUAGGGCCGUUGUUGGCCACAACCCAGAGCCCAACGAUUUUUUUUUGCAUCCCACGACUGGCAUUUUUGGACCGUUGGUUGAUCCAACGGUCCAGAUUCAAAUUUUGUUUUUUUAAAUGUUAUUUUAAAAUACAUUGAAUCCAACGGCUGAGAUCGAAUAUAAUCAAAUCUAACGGUAAAAUAAAAAAAGAUAAAAAAAGAUAUAACAGUCCAAAUUUAAAUCCAACAGCUAAAAUAAUUUUAAAAAAAAUUAUUUAACUCAAAAUUCACCCAAAAACUCUAUAAAUACCUUUGUAUUUGUUCAAACAUCCACACAAAACUCAAUUUUCUCCCACAAUUCUUCCAUUUUUUCUUUCUACCAUUUCUUUCCAUUUCCAAAUUGUUCAACACGAUCCUUGAAUUGGCCAUCCCAAGCAGUAAGACAAUUCUUCCACUCCCAAAGCAUACAAUCGAGACUUCCUAUCAUGUCAGGAAAGCCUAUUUUGUCUGCUUUGAGUAGAAUGUGACGACAUGUCCCGAAUUAUUAUAUAUUUUUCUCCCUAAGUGUGUAAAGUGACGGUAAUGCCCUCGUGAUUUAGUGACGUGGAUGUACAUAUGUAGUUUUAAAUUAUUAUUUCUAUUGUCGUAGUUAAAUUGUACUCGACGCCAUGAGUGUGUUGAUGUGACCUAGGGCUAAAACAAAUUCGUAACGAAGAAGUUACGAACAGACGAGUGUGUAAAUGCGUAGAAAUAUAUUUUUAUGGGUUGGCUAUACCUUACCCACCAAUCACCUUAAUUCCUGAUUUCUUUGGCCUAAUUGAAUUAAAAAUAUCUCUCAUUUUUCCUUCUGCCCAAUCACGCACAUACACACCAUCACUCUCUCUCUUCUCUCGGACCUUCUUCUUCUUUCUUCUCAUUCCGUACACCCGAGCCACCCUUACCUCACAAUCAUCAUCAAAACAUUAUGGAUCGAAUUGGAAAUCACUACCAUCGCAGUCACCUCGAUCCCACGAACUCAUUGAUACCCUUAGGUCGAGGAAUAGACGUCGGGAAUUCGAGAACUCGGGAGCUCUGGCGAGGUGUAUUUUUCUACUUUGUGAUCGUGGUCUUUUUCUAUGGUUUAAAGGCUUGAGGUGGGUCCUAAUCAACUUUAUAGGGACCCUAGAUUAGUUUUGGAGCAGUUUGAACGUUGGAAUAGGUGAGAACAUGGAGUUGCAGGUUGGCCGGUUGAUCCAAGCCUUACUCCGACCACUUUCUGUCGGUUUUAGAACCUCAAGUAGGUAAGAUUGUAUUCUUCUAGUUGAGAGUUUCAAAUCCAUAUAAAAUUCAUGGAAUUUGGUUGAAAAAUGAUGAAGAUAUUAAAGUUUUAAGAUUUUUCCAAAAAUCAGCGACACAAACGGCGCCCGACGGCCAGCGAUGGAUUCCGACAAAGCCAUCGGAGAAGGAGGAGAAUAUUAUGUCUAACUUUGACAGAAUAUACUAACAGCGUCAGGUAACUCUAUUAGUUUUUAAACAAAAUAUUCUACUAUUUAAUGAAAUAUUCCCUAACGCCGUUAGGGAUUCCGUGCCUGCACGUGCCGGCUUAUGAGGGCGCGUGAGACGUCAGGAAAUUAAUCUAAAAAUAUUGGGGUGUUCGAGUUGUUGAGUAGGUCAUGUUGGUAUAUUCAAACACCCUAUUUGAGCAACGUAUGAGAAGUUAUUCCUAGGGUUUGUGUAUGUGCCUUAAAAUUAAUGUAAAAUUAGUUAUUUCGCAUAUAGGUGAGACUUACCCGGAGGACAAACGUGGUCAAACGAGACUUGGGGGCUACGAUCCUACUACUUACCAGUGAGCGGGCUUUUUUUUUCUAUAUAUAUGUAAAUAUGCUUAUGAAUCCCAUAAACUACUUUAAAUGAACGUAUGUUUUAAAUGCCAUGUCGUGUGCAUUAUGUGUUAGUAUUGCAUUAGUAUAGCUAUGCAUAGUAUUGGAUGAGACUGCGCAGACUCAGGUAAGUUUCAGGUGAGUACAUCAUGAUGGUAUUGGGUGCGUGUGUGUGGUUAUACGUUGAUGCAUUUUGAGCUUAUUAUCCUGCACAUUGGUGUUAGUGUUCUCGCCCAUGGCCAGGGCAUAGUUUUUCACAUGAUGUUCACCUCCUGGGCCGCACGCUCACUUUGGAUCCAAGUUUGGUGCACAGCCAUAUUGCACAGACCACAAUAGGUGGUUCCGACUCGUAGGUGACCUGCAAUUAUUUGCACAGCCUUCACGUGAUCGUAGCACUUAAGCGUACUUAUCUACACCCAGCCCUGUUGUACAGACCACAAUAGGUGGUUCCGACUUAUGUGCAUGCAUACUUGAUGAGCUAUAGAUUCAAUUGUACAGGUUACAUUAGGUGACUCCGGUUGGCAUACUAUUUUAGGUUGAUUCGUAUCACCUGGCUUACACAUUUUAUGGUUGAACAUCUUGACAUGGCAUACCUCUGUUUUCACUGCUCUAAGCAUUAUCCUUAUGUACCUAGUUGUUAUUAUUUUCUGGAAAAUUAUAUGGGUUUACAGUGAGGGGUUAGUAUGUUCAUAAAGACAACUGUGUUUUCAAAAACUUUGUUUUUGCCUACUCACAUUUUUUGUUUUGCACCCUUUCAGGUUCUAGGUAGUUGGUCAUCCUUGGUGGCUCACGAGGACUUUCACGGCGGUUCUGACAUCUCUGUAAAUAAGUAGGGAUUUUUUUCCCUGUUUGUAUAAUUAGUACUUAGUUGGUUCGAUUGCACUUUCGUUUACCCAUGCUCUGAUAUUUGUAUAACUUGCUUGGUCAUCUUUACUCACUUAUAUUAUCUUAGUUUAGAUAAGUUUGGUUUUAGGUUUUUAUUUAUUCGCAUUUCUUUUAUUAUUACUUCUGUUGCGCAUUUUGGCUACGUUACUCUUACGUGACGGGCAUCAUGUUUCGACUUCGGUUGGGGUGUGUCAUAAAAGCCUCUUCAAGUCUUCAUGAUUUGGCUUGCAGAGAUAUGUGGCUCCAUAUGUGGCCUGAAUUGCCCCACAGAAGCGCUCCAGGUUUUUAAUAGCAGUAGUCUCCGCAAGUCGGCAAUACUCAUCAGUUGAGUUUGCAGAGCACUCAUUAGCUAGCAUCCGAAAUGCAGAUGUGAGCUUCUGAUGAGGUGAUAGACUUUGUCGGCCUACGACAUUUAUCUUCCUUGCAAAGUAGUGGUCAUGAUUGACAACUGUGUUCAAGAUGCUUUCAAAAAUCUCUCUCCUCAUUCGAAACCGUCUCCGAAAAUCAUGAGCAGGAAAUCUCGGACGCUCAAUAAAAUAAUAUUUCAUCAUUCGGUCAUGACACUCUUCUCUAUCACGUUGCACAAAUGAACGCUUCGUGACAUAACCACAAUAGCUAGAUUCGACAUGGUGCUCAUAUUGCAUAAGCGAGUUUGGAAGUUUAGCUUAUGCGUUGAUCAUUUUUGAAUCCUCAAUGUCAAGGCUUGCUUGGUAUUAUGUCAUUUGCAUUGCCCUGCUACACCUUCUUCUAUCAUCCAUUGUUGAUAUAUUGAGGAUUUUUAUGAAACAAAAACACUUUGAAAGUUGAAAGAUUAGUGAAUAUAGGGAAUGAUUGAAGGUUGAAAGAUUGUGUGACCAACUGAUAUUGAACAUGUGUUUAUAUAGAGGAUGAUUGAUGAAAGUUGAAAGUUUGGUGAAAGUUGAACGGUUGGUGAAAGUUGAAGAUUUGUGAAAGUUAAAGACUUGCUUUGUGGAAAGAUUUAGUGAUUUUUUCAAUAUUUAUUGGAAUUUAAAUAUUUUUAUAUUAAAAUGUUCAUAAAAUUAAUUUACCAUAGGCUACAUAAUUUUUUUUAAAAGUUAAUUUAAGAAAAAAAAUUAGCCUAAGUUCAUUCUUUAAUAAUCCCGAACUAAAAUUUUAGGCUAGGGUUGGAGCAGAAAAACUGUUUCUGUGUUAAAAGCUAAAUUUUUUAGAUUAAAAAUUUUAAAUUUUAACCCAAAGGUUGGAGAUGAUUUAAGAAUGGAUAAACUUAACCAAGAAAAGAAGAAAAAAGAUGAAGGGCAAAUAAGUGAGAAGCAACAUGACACGACACACGGACGACCAUAGCAAUAAAGCGUGCGUCCUCACGUCCAUUGAAUAUAUAGAUGGGAGCUACAACAUCGUGUUUCACGUGCAUGUGUAUUAUACAUAAAGGCAUAUACAGUGUUAGCUUAUAUAUUAUAAAGUUUGUAGGCCACUUACCCAAUUUGGCAUAUGUUUUAUCUUUUUACGUGAAUAACCAAUGUGUUAUGAUGAUACAAGUCUCUUAACAUAUCCGGAGUUAGAAAUAUCAUAAGACAGUGUUGCGAUCAUAUUGAAAUUAAUUGACAGUUUGUAUUAUAUAUUUGAUUAUUCUUUAUUAACUUAAGGAGACAGCAUACUUAGACCUAAUUUAGUCACAUUCUCCAACCGAAAAUAAAGCGGUGUAGUAUUCAUACACUUUUUUUUAUUUCUUACACAGUCUUAAUUAAUUUCUAUUGUUUGAUCUUCUUCAAUUCAUUCGAUCUGACGACCGAAAAUUAAGAUGGUGUGUGGACGAGUAAAUUAUAACAAUGGUCCCUCAACUUUAAUCAAAUUGGAGCAAGGGUGCUCAACUAAAAAUCCAUUACCAUUGGUUCCUCAACUCAUCAAAAUGUGUAGCUAUGGUCAUUUUCGUCAACUUCGUUACAAUUUUGUCAAAAUAAGUUAUAUUGGAAUGACUAUUGCUACAAUUGGGGUCCCUCAACUCAUCAAAACGUGUAGCUAUGGUCAUUUUCAUCAAUUUCGUUAGAAUUUUAUCAAAAUGAGUUUUGUUGGAAUGACCAUUGCUACAAUUGAAUUAAAGUUGAGGGACUAUUAUUUCAAUUGAGUUAAAGUUGAAAGAUCAUUUCUUCAGUUGUAUUAAAGUUGAAGGAUCAAUGGUAAUGAAUUUUUAGUUGAGGGGACUAUAGCUGCACGUUUUAAUGAGUUGAGAGAACAAUAAUAAUGAAUUUUUAGUUGAAAAACUAUUACUUCAAUUGAGUUAAAAUUAAGAAACAAUUGCUACAAUUUUUUUAUAUGGAAAGUGGAUGAUGUGAAUAGCACAUCCAAAAAUAAAAGGGAACUUUAACGAAAAGCACCCGGUACUGUUCACUUUAACGAAAAACCACAUUUUUACACUAAAAAGUCAAUCCUGGUACUAUUCACUUUACCCUUUAUUUUGUCCUUAUCAUUAAAACUCAAAGUUUUCAAGCCCUUUUCAUUAGUUUUCCUAAAAUAAAAUGCACCACAAUUUGGUAGGAUCUUCCUGUUGAGAGUAAUAAAUUAAUAAUUGCCGAAAUAUUGGAUAAUUUGUCGGCCACAACGCUAUGAGGGAGUAUCUGGGGAUGAAUAUACUCUUGCCGACAGAUGCCCAAAUUCCAACUGCCAUUCAAAUGAGCCCUCCACCACCACCGGCCAUAAUAAAUUCUCUUUCUUUAGUGAAGAAGAAAAAGAGGUACUUGGCCCUCACCUCAACUUUUUGAGAAAGAACAAGUUUAUCGCUAUCAGAAUGUUUCGGUCAAUUAUAUAAGUUAUGUGUAAAUUUUUCUUUAGAUAACAUUACAUUAUUAUAUUUAAAAUGUUCCGUAACGAUAAAUUUGUUUCAUACAAAUUAUUCUCCAACUUCUUGGAUUUUUCUCCUUUUUCCCGAAAACCAGCUUAUAUUAGUGUUCAUCCUCUGUCAAUAUCACUCGCCCACAACUAUUCAACUAACUUUUAAUAAUUUGACAACGUGUCAUAUUUUUGUGCAAAGCGGGCCCAUUUUUGUGGGUGAUAUAAUAAUGGCGUAUGUGGUUUGUCAAGACAUAUACUCAUUUAUCCAUUAGCAGUUAGGUAAGUCACCUCACUCACCCACAGCCUAACACAUCAACAAAUAUUGCUUACAAAUUCUAGAAAAUUCGACCAAGAAAAAAAACCAAAUGCUCGCAAAUUAAAAUUGUGUAACAUGAUUAGUUUUUUAUCCAUUAGUAUUAAUUUUACGUUGGAAGAAAUUCCAAAUUUAUUCUUGUAAAGAGGGAUAUGAAAAUACUUUGUAUGUCUAUCACCAAAAUCUUCGAAUGUUUGAAUGGUUGAUUUUCAAGUCUCACACAAUUGGAUUUAGUUCAAGUGAGAAAGAAAUACACUCAAACUAUUAGAUAUGAGGAAUGAAAAUACACUACAAAAUCUUGUGAACAUUUCUAAUAUUCUCUUCUAUCUACUUUUUGUGAACCAAGUUUUUAUUUGUUUUUUUUUUUAACAAAAGAUAUUUUUUAUACUAGGGAAAUAAGGUGGGUUUAGCCUCAUAAUGGGCUAACAUAAUCUAGUUCAAACUUGCAUUUGGUGAGAAUCGAACCUAAAAUCUCUCACUUACAAGUGAAGAGGAAUACCAUUAGAAGUGUCAUGAAAUUAGCAGUCUUAUAUGUAAAAAAUUGAUUGACUAAAUGCUGUGUUAAAAAACAAGAUUAAUACUUGCAUCUCCCCACUUGGAAAAUGCAAAUAUUUCAUUUCUUGCAAAUAACGUAUAUCAUGCGUUCUGUUCAAUCGCAUAUUCAAAAAUGUUAAAAACAAGAUUAAUAUUUCUAUCUCCCCACUUGGAAAAUGCAGUAUUUCAUUUUUUACGAAUAACGUAUAUCCUGUGUUCCGUCCAAUCGCGUAUUAAAAAAAUGUGUGAAGUUUGGAUUAACUACACUCUUUGAGAAUUUCCUUAAAUAACCACUUUUUGAAAAUUUCUUAUAGGACUAAGUGAGUCUCCGCUGAGAAUUUCCUUAACUAACACAACACUACUUGAGUGAUAAUUUGUUAUAUCUUGAAUAGAGAAUAAAUCAGUUCCCUACUUUUGAAGGUACUAUUAACUUACACUAUAUUUGAAUGAGAACAAUAAACUUAGAAUUUAGAUGAAGGAAAUAAAACAGUUUCCUACUUUUGAAGGUACUACUCGAGUGAUAAUUUGUUAUAUCUUGAUAACGUGUCAUAUUUUUUUGCUAAGCGGACCCAUUUUUGUGGGGUGGUAUAAUAAUGGCGUUUGUUGUUUGUCAAGGGCAUAUACCCAUUUAUCCAUUAGCAGUUAGGUCACCUCACUCACCCACAACCUAGUACAUCAACAAAUAUUGCUUACAAAUUCUAGAAAAUUCAACCAAGAGAAAGAAAACCAAAUGCUCGCAAAUUAAUCUGUGUAACAUUAGUUUUUAUCCAUUAGUAUUUAUUUUACAUUGGAAGAAAUUCCAAAUUUAAUCUCGUAAAGAGGGAUAUGAAAAUACUUUGUAUAUCUAUUAUCAAAAUCUUUGAAUGUUUGAAUGAUUGAUCAUCAAGUCUCACACGAUUGAAUUUAGUUCAAGUGAGGAAGAAAUACACACAAACUAUUAUAUAUGAGGAUUGAAAAAUACACUACAAAAUCUUGUGAUAACAUUUCUAAUAUUCCUUUCUAUCUACAUUUUGUGAUAAGUUUUUUUUUUCCUUUUUUGAACAAACUAUAUUUAUCUACAUUAAGGGAGAGGAGGUGAUCUUAGCCUCACAAUGGGCUAGCAUAAUGUGGUUCAAAUUCGCCUUUGGCGAUAAUCGAACCUAAAACUUAUCAUUUACAAGUAAAUAGGAAUACCACUAGAUGGAUCAUGAAAUUAGCAGUCUUAUAGGUAAAAAAAAAUUGAUCGACUAAAUGAUGUGUUAAAAAACAAGAUUAAUACUUGCAUCUCUCCACUUGAAAAAUGUAGAUAUUUCUGUGAACACGGAAAAUUCCUGAAACGAAAGAGACAAGAACAACGUGCACAAAAUAAUAUUUUGGUGUUAAUGGAUUUGUUGGGUUACGAUCUCUUUUAACUUGAUCCUCUGAUUCGAUCUCCGUAAGGUGUUGAUUUAUGGAUGUUUCGUUGAUCCAAGGGCUGUUGAGGCUUGAUCUUAGAUGAACUGUUGGAAGUUUCUUCAAGGGGCCGUGGGCUUGAUCUUUGAAGGUGGAUUUGAGCGGAUCUUCAAGGAGCCGUUGGGGCUUGAUCUUGAGGAUGAGUGUUUCUUCAAGGGCCGUUAAGGCUUGAUCUUGAAUAACGGUGAUGAACGGAUCUUCAAGGGCUUUUGGGCUUGAUCUUGAAGAACGGUUGGAUGUGUGGAUUUGUUGAUGUUGUUGAUCCAAGGGCCGUCGGAGCUUGAUCUUGGAAGAACGAUGAACGAAGAACGAAGAACACUUUCUUCAAAGGCCGUCGGGGCUUGAUCUUGAAUUGGUGAUUGUUGAUCCAAGGGCCGUCGGGGCUUGAUCUUGGAAGAACGAUGAACGAAGAACGAAGAACACUUUCUUCAAGGGCUGUCGGGGCUUGAUCUUGAAUUGGUGAUUGUUAAUCCAAGGGCCGUCGGGGCUUGAUCUUGAUUCUUCGGGAUGAACGGAUGAUGAACAAUGAACACUUUCUUCAAGGGCCGUCGGGGCUUGAUCUUGAAUUGGUGGAAGUUCUUCAAGGGCCUUUGGGGCUUGAUCUUGAAGGUGGAUGAUUGUUGAUCCAAGGGCCGUCGGGGCUUGAUCUUGGGAUGAACAGUUGUGUGGAUUUGUUGAACACUUUCUUCAAGGGCCGUCGAUGCUUGAUCUUGAAUUGGUGGAAGUUCUUCAAGGGCCGUUGGGGCUUGAUCUUGAAGGAGGAUUUGACGAAGAACGAAGAGGGCUUUCUUGAUCCUUCGGGAUUUGCUUGAAUUUGGGAGGUUGGAUGCUUGAAAGCUUUAGAGUUUCAAAGCUUCAAGGAUUUUGGAUGUGUGGGGAGUAUUCUCUUCCAUUUUGGGAGUAGAGAAAUGUAUUUGUGAAUUGGUUUUUGAUACCUUGAUGUAGAAGCCUAUUUAUAGGCUUUGAGAAUGAAUCACCACCACAAAAUAUUUUUUUUCUUUUCCAAGCACCAUUGCCUAAUUUCCCACUUAAUACAAUUUUAAACUUGAAGUGGUAAUUUUAUGGCCUAAUUUUCCACUUAAUAUCAUUUUAAACUUGAUAUGUGCAUGCUUUGUCAUUGCCCAAAAUGAGAAGAAAACCUUGUUUUGAUCUUCAAUGAAUUGAAAUGUGCUUGCCUUGUCAUUGCCCAAAAUGAGAAGAAAAACUUGUGUAAUCCUUCAAGGGUAUUUCUUUUUAUUUUGUUGAGUCGCACACCAUGUGUACAAUUUGUAUGACACGUGGCAUAUGCCAUGUACGCCUUGACACGUCAAAAUUUUAAUGCGUUGGUGAACAUUUAUUUCACCGCAAUUUCGGUGUCUACAAAUGCCCCCACUUCAAGGUGCGUCGUAUACAUGUGCUUGUCACGUGUAGGAGAUGCGUUUUGAAGUCCCUUACUGUAGAUGUCAAUCCAAUGGCCAUCGAGGCUUGAUCUUGAAUUGGGCUGGAGAUUUCUUCAAGGGCCGUUGAGGCUUGUUCUUGGACUUUGUUUGAAAUUUCUUCAAGGGCCAUCGAGGCUUGAUCUUGAAGGUUGAAAUUGGACCACAAGGAGCUUCAUGUGGUAGAUGAUCUUUGGCUUUGGUAGUGGAUGAAUCGGCACGUAUUUGUUUUUGCGCUUUGUUGACUUUCCACAGCUUUGAUCUUGAACUGGGUUGGAGGAUUUUUUGGAUUCCUCCAAUUGUUGAUUUUCCACAGUUUAUUCUUGAACUGGAUUUGAUUCAAAUAUGGUGGACGCUUGAUCUUGAAUCGGACUUGUGAUUUCCUCAAGGGCCGUCGAGGCUUGAUCUUGAAUUUGGCCGGAAACUUCUUCAAGGGCCGUUGAGGCUUGAUUCUUGAAGGUUGACUCGAACACAUGGCAAGCAGGCACGAGGUGAAGGUGACGACUUGUUGCUUUGUUCAAUCUUUCUAAUUCACACCUGAGCAGUUUGGUCAACGGUAUGAUCUUCAAGAUUGAUGGGCUCUUCUUCCAGUUGGUGAUUUGAUCUUUAAGGAUUUGAUUCAAGGGUGGUGAAACGGCACAUGCAGCCCACAACGCCUAGCAAGUCGACCCAAGAAUUUGAGGGUUAAAACGAGUCCUCCACCCAGAGUGAUUGCAAACCUGAUGAUAUGAGAUACUUUUGAUUUUGAAGAAGUAGCGGAUGAAUCGGCACGUGCUUUGUUGUGCUUGUCUCCACAUGCUUCAAUGUAUCAUUUUCCCUUGUCUUAUCUAUUCUUCUAGCAGAAUGUAGCAUCUUCUUAAGUUCUUCAACUCAGACUCCUUCUGCUGAGCUGACUGUGCAGGCUGCAUUAUUCUCUGCUUGUUUCUUUAGGCAGAUGUGGCAGCUUCUUGAGUUCCUCAGCUCGGACUCCUUCUGCUGAGCUGAUUGUGAAGACUGCAUUCUUAUCUGCUUGUUUCUUCUGUACGUUGUCUCCACAUGCUGCAAGGUAUCAUUUUCAAUUGCCUUAUUUGUUUUCCAGGCAAAUGUGGCAUCCGAGUUUGAGUGGAGGUUCUGGCAUAUUGUUUUCUUUAUCCUUGUCUUUGUAGGUAAGAACAAGGACAAAGGAAAGGACAGGGAGAACGCAUGAUAUGAUAUACUCUUGCUUUCUACCCUGGUGAUAUGAGAUACUUUUGCUUUGGUGUCAUUUGUUUGCAGAGGUACCCCAAGGAAUAAGAAACACUGAGUGACUCGAGAGGCUUUGUUGGGAAGGCAUUCUAGGAGAUGAAGAAAGGUUCUUGGAGAUGAAGAAAGGUUCUCGGAGAUGAAGAAAGGUUAUGUAUGUCUGCCUUGCUAUGGAGGGUAAAGGUGGACAGUUAUAGGAAAUUCUUUAGUACCUGUAGAGGUACUAUUCUUUUACUCGUGUCGGCAACCAAUGUGUGAUUGAUCAGUAUGGCUUCACGUGUUUUCUUCUUUAUCAGAAAUCUUCGACAAAUUGUCCGUAAUUUUCGUCAAGCUGAGUGUGCAUGUGACAGGUGUUGACGAGGCUGAAAAAGACUGGUGCCUCUUCGAUAUCUGGGAUCGGCGCUUCGACAAAUUGCCCGUGAUUUCCGCAAAGCUGAGUUUGCGCGUGACGGGUGCUGACGAGGCUGAAAAAGACUGGCGCCUCUUCGAUAUCUGGGAUUGGCGCUUUAACAAAUUGCCCAUGAUUUCUGCAAAGCUGAGUUUGCACGUGACGGGUGCUAACGCGUCUGGAAAAGCAAGAUGCUUCUCCGAUUUCUGAGCUUGCCUCUUUGAUUUUUGAAUUGGCCUCUUCGAAUUCUGAGCUCGCCUCUUCGAUCUUUGAAAUCCCAUCGAGUGUUGAUCUUUAUAGAGGCACGCAGUUCGUUUCAAAGCACACUUGAAUUUUCGCUUGUAGAAACUCCCUUCUUGCACUUCUAAGAUCUUGAUUUGUCCGACCUCUUCUUUCUUCAACACCUUUGAAAAUGUCUGGACCCUCCGACCGUCAUUUUGAUUUGAACCUUGGUGAAGAGGUAGUCCCGUCUUCUCCAGAUAACAUAUGACGCCCAUCUUUCAUAUCCCCUACUGGUCCUCUUACCGUUGGGGAUUCGGUGGUGAAGAAUGAUAUGACCGCUGCGGUGGUGGCCCGAAACCUUGUCACUCCCAGAGAUAACAGACUACUUUCCAAACGGUCUGAUGAGUUGGCUGUUAAGGAUUCUCUGGCUCUCAGUGUGCAGUGUGCAGGUUCUGUGUCUAAUAUGGCCCAACGCCUAUUUGCUCGAACCCGUCAAGUUGAAUCAUUGGCGGCUGAAGUGAUGAGUCUCAAACAGGAGAUAUUAGAGGGCUCAAGCAGAGAGAUAAACAGUUGCAUAAGCUCGCACAUAGCUAUGCGACAAACAUGAAGAGGAAGAUUAACCAGAUGCAGGAAUCUGAUGGUCAGAUUUUACUUGAUCAUCAGAGGUUUGUGGGUUUGUUCCAGCAGCAUUUGCCUUCGUCUUCUGGGGCUGUACCGCGUAAUGAAGCUCCAAAUGAUCAACCCUUGGCUCCUCUUCUUCCUGGAGUUCCGCCGAGUGGUGUGGCUUCAAACAGUCAACCUCCGACGCCUCUCAUUUCUGGAGCUCUGCUGAGUGGUGAGGUGGCACCUAAUCGUCCUUGAAGAUCCCCUCUUGUAAAUUUGAUUUGAUUUUUUUUUAAGUAUGUAUAAUGCAAAUUUAUGUAAAAUUUCCAGAAAAAAUAAAUAAAAACGGACUUUAUUUCUCUCAAUGCAUUUGUUUUGUUUUGUUUUUGUUUUUUUUGUUUUUUUGUUUUUGUUUUUUUUGUAAAUACAUAAUAACAUAUGUAUUUAUUUAUUUAUUCUUUUGUAAUAAAAUUGACUUUCUUUAAUAAAACUUUUAUAUUUUUCUUAUUUAUUUUGAUAUGACUGAACUCGAAAUUGAAUGUUCGAGCCGCCUACGUACCCUUCCAAAGAAGAGAUCAAGCCAUAACGUAGUUCAAAUGAGUGAUGAAUUUAAUAGUGAUUUUGAUGAUGAUUUUGCCGUACACAGUUUAUGCUCUUGUGGGCCAGGAGCUUUGGUGUUGCCUUUUAUGCUCGUGCAGACCAGGAGCGUUGAUGUCGCCUUUUAUGCUCGUGUGGGUCAGGAGCGUUGAUGUUGCCUUUUAUGCUCGUGCAGACCAGGAGCUUUGUGCCAUGCAGUUUAGACUCGUGCGGGCAAGGAGCUUUGGUUCGUGCAGUUUAGGCUCAUGCGAACAAGGAGCAUUGGUUCGUGCAGUUUAGGCUCGUGCGAACAAGGAGCAUUGGUGUUGCCUUUUAUGCUCGUGCAGACCAGGAGCUUUGUGCUAUGCAGUUUAGACUCGUGCGGGUGAGGAGAAUUUGUGAAUUUUGUCAAGCACUUUUGGAGAGGCGUUCCUUACAAUCUUCAUAGCAAGGAGCCUUGACCGAGUGAUUGAAGAAGUCUUCGGGAAAGAAGUCGCACAUCGUGAUGGCAACAGACGAUCUUUGUGUCGUAAUUUCAUCAUCUUCAACACGUUCACGUUGCUUUGAAGGUUGACAAGAGCUGCUUUGCCCCCUUUCCGAUUGGCGGACUUGUGGAGGAGACGUAUGCUUCUUGUGCCAUUUCUUAGGAGUGACUUGAGUCCAUCCUUCAAGUUUGCUUGUUUUGGAGGAUGCCCCCGGCGGUUGAGGUGAAAAUUUUGUGUUGAAAGAGCCAGAAGUGAUGGUGGUAUAGUUUGACUUCACCACAUCGUCAAGAUCUAGCUCGAUGAUUCCUUUCUGAGCCCACUUUAUGAUGAGAUCUUUCAGCACAAAGCACUUUUCUGUCGGAUGACUGAUGAAGCGGUGGAAUUUACAGUAUCUUGGACUGUUGGUACGAUUCAUCUCUUCCGGCCAUCUGCACUCAGGCAAACUGAUCACCUUCUUGUCCAACAGGUCAUCCAACAUGGCAACCACAUCAGAGUCAGGGAAUGGAUAAGUCUUCUCUUUAAGCUCCUUCAAAGUGCGUCUACGCAUCUCUUGAUCACGAAAAGCUUCGGUUUGAAUCGUUUUGCCUCGUGUGGAGAUUUUGACGGGAGAUGUGUUGACUGUCAUUGCUUCCUUGGUGGAUUUCCACGUAGCCUUCUCCACCUUUGUCUCAAGAAUUUUGUCGUUCUUGUAGUCGGCGAUCGGUUCCUUCUUCCCAUGAUGGGUGAUGCUCAACUCCAUGUCAUGGGCGUGGGUGGCCAAUUCCUCGAAGGUCCGUGGUUUAAUGCCUUGAAGGAUGUAUUGCAAACCUCAUUGCAUGCCUUGGAUGCACAUCUCGAUUGAAGAGGUCUCCGAGAGCCUAUCUUUGCAGUCGAGGCUUAGAGUGCGCCAUCUGUUGAUGUAGUCAAUGACCGGCUCAUCUUUCCAUUGCUUCAUACUUGUGAGCUCCAACAUGCUUACAGUGCGGCGGGUGUUGUAGAAGCGGUUGAGGAAUUCCCGCUCCAAUUGCUCCCAGCUGUUGAUGGACUCAGGCUCUAGGUCCGUGUACCACUCAAAUGCGUUUCUUUUCAGCGAGCGCAUAAACUGCUUGGCGAAGUAGUCCCCCUCCGUCCCCGCGUUGUUGCAAGUUUUGACGAAAUGUGCAACGUGCUGCUUUGGGUUUCCUUUUCCAUCAAACUGCAUGAACUUUGGUGGUUGAUAUCCCAUCGGCAUCUUUAGGGCAUCAAUCUUCUUUGAAUAAGGCUUUGAGUACAACCCGGAGGUAUUUGAGCUCCCUUCGUACUAUGCCUUGACGGUGCUGGCAAUCAUCUCUUGCAACUGUUGGAUAGAAAGAGAUCCCAUGAGUGCCGCUUCUUGGUCUGGCUCCGGCUUCACAUCGAUUUUCUCCACCGUAGGCUCAUCUUCUGGGUUAGGGUUCUCGCUGUCCUGUGGCUCCAGUUGACUGAUGAGUGCAGCGAUUUGCAAGUCUUUUUCUUCCACAGUUCGGGUUAGCCUUGCGAUUGCUUCAUUCAUUUGAGCCAGUUGUUCUUCGAUGGAGGUAACGCCGAUGGUCAUGACUUGUGCAACCAAUAGACGUGACUUUCCUUUAGACAUCCAAGAUGCUGAAGAAGAACGUCAUUGGUUGUUUUGGGAUGUCAUCUUGUGUGCCUCAGCAACAUGCUUUGGUGCCCCCAGCGAGGUCAGGUUGAUGACAGACUCACACCUUUGAUGCUCCCUUUGCUCUUUUAGCGGCACCAACUUUGAAGUGGCAUGUUAAGGAGCGGUUGUGGUGCUAAUGGAUUGUCCAUUUGCGGCAGAAGUGCUUAGGAUCCUUCCCUCAGUGAUUGCGAGAACGGCUUGUCCCUUGCUUGAUGCCAUUGAUUUUGAGGUGUGUUUGGAUUCCUUAAACGGAGAAAGAUAUGAGAGGUAGAGAUUGUCCCACCGGGCGUGCCAAUUUGUGAACACGAAAAUUUCCUGAAACGAAAGAGACAAGAACAACGUGCACAAAAUAAUAUUUUGGUGUUAAUGGAUUUGUUGGGUUACGAUCUCUUUUAACUUGAUCCUCUGAUUCGAUCUCCGUAAGGUGUUGAUUUAUGGAUGUUUCGUUGAUCUAAGGGCCGUCGAGGCUUGAUCUUGGAUGAACUGUUGGAAGUUUCUUCAAGGGGCCGUGGGCUUGAUCUUUGAAGGUGGAUUUGAGCGGAUCUUCAAGGAGCCGUUGGGGCUUGAUCUUGAGGAUGAGUGUUUCUUCAAGGGCCGUUAAGGCUUGAUCUUGAAUAACGGUGAUGAACGGAUCUUCAAGGGCUUUUGGGCUUGAUCUUGAAGAACGGUUGGAUGUGUGGAUUUGUUGAUGUUGUUGAUCCAAGGGCCGUCGGGGCUUGAUCUUGGAAGAACGAUGAACGAAGAACGAAGAACACUUUCUUCAAAGGCCGUCGGGGCUUGAUCUUGAAUUGGUGAUUGUUGAUCCAAGGGCCGUCGGGGCUUGAUCUUGGAAGAACGGUGAACGAAGAAUGAAGAACGAAGAACACUUUCUUCAAGGGCCGUCGGGGCUUGAUCUUGAAUUGGUGAUUGUUAAUCAAAGGGCCGUCGGGGCUUGAUCUUGGAAGAACGAUGAACGAAGAACGAAGAAGGCUUUCUUGAUUCUUCGGGAUGAACGGAUGAUGAACAAUGAACACUUUCUUCAAGGGCCAUCGGGGCUUGAUCUUGAAUUGGUGGAAGUUCUUCAGGGCCUUUGGGGCUUGAUCUUGAAGGUGGAUGAUUGUUGAUCCAAGGGCCGUCGGGGCUUGAUCUUGGGAUGAACAGUUGUGUGGAUUUGUUGAACACUUUCUUCAAGGGCCGUCGAUGCUUGAUCUUGAAUUGGUGGAAGUUCGUCAAGGGCCGUUGGGGCUUGAUCUUGAAGAAGGAUUUGACGAAGAACGAAGAGAGCUUUCUUGAUCCUUCGGAAUUUGCUUGAAUUUGGGAGGUUGGAUGCUUGAAAGCUUUAGAGUUUCAAAGCUUCAAGGAUUUUGGAUGUGUGGGGAGUAUUCUCUUACAUUUUGGGAGUAGAGAAAUGUAUUUGUGAAUUGGUUUUUGAUACCUUGAUGUAGAAGCCUAUUUAUAGGCUUUGAGAAUGAAUCACCACCACAAAAUAUUUUUUUCUUUUCCAAGCACCAUUGCCUAAUUUCCCACUUAAUACAAUUUUAAACUUGAAGUGGUAAUUUUAUGGCCUAAUUUUCCACUUAAUAUCAUUUUAAACUUGAUAUGUGCAUGCUUUGUCAUUGCCCAAAAUGAGAAGAAAACCUUGUUUUGAUCUUCAAUGGAUUGAAAUGUGCUUUGCCUUGUCAUUGCCCAAAAUGAGAAGAAAAACUUGUGUAAUCCUCCAAGGGUAUUUCUUUUUAUUUUGUUGAGUCACACACCAUGUGUACAAUUUGUAUGACACGUGGCAUAUGCCAUAUAUGCCUUGACACGUCAAAAUUUUAAUGCGUUGGUGAACAUUUAUUUCACCGCAAUUUCGAUGUCUACAAUUUCAUUUCUUGUGAAUAAUGUUUAUCCUGUGUUCUGUCCAAUCGCGUAUUAAAAAAUGUGUGAAGUUUGGAUUAACCACACUCUUUUAGAAUUUCCUUUAUUUACCACUUUUUGAGAAUUUCCAAUAAGACUGGGUGAGUCUCCGCUGAGAAUUUCCUCAACUAACACCACACUACUUGAGGGAUAAUUUGUUAUAUCUUUGAAUAAAGAAUAAAACAGUUUCCUACUUUUGAAGGUACUAUUAACUUACACUAUAUUUGGAUGAAGGUCAAACUUUAUAAAUUGACAUACACCAAAUUCUUUGUUUGGAUUCAUAAACAUAUAAAUUUAGAAUUUCCGCGUGGAAAAAAAAAAUACUUAGAAUUUGAGACCUCCAAUUCUCAAAUUGAAAGUUUAAAAAUAAUAAAUUCCGUAUUCAAUUCAAUUGUUCUUUUAGGUUAACCAAAUAAGAAAAUUCACAAAUUCUAAAAUAUAAAAUCUCAUCAUUUCAAUUUCCGUCAUUUUAAAAUUCCUUAGUAAUAUUAAAUUUCUUCAUCCAAACAUAGUGUUAAGAAAUUUUUUAAAGAUACACUAUUUACACUCAUUUUUAUUUCUUACACAUUUAUUAACUUUGUCCAUUGAUUUCUUCAAUUCAUUUUGCCAGUUAUACAAAAAUUGAGAACAGUAUUUAUGAAUUAAAAAUACAUUUGUAGAUGUCACUACCAAAUUUUUAUUCCUAAUUCAAGAAAAUCUUAUCCAUAUAUGAUUGCCCUUGCCCACUUUAAAUGGGUGCCAUCACUUUACGAUAGAGCAAUCCUAACCGUCCACCUAGGUAAGCAUAACUGGCGAUGCAUGUCGCAAGGGGACCGCAUUGCACAAUAUAAUUAUACUAGUUGAUAAGACAAGUGAUGUCAAUCAAUAAAUUAUUUCAUUAAAACUUAGUUGUAUGUAUCAUAUGUUGUAAUGUAGGGUGUAUGAUAUGCUGACGCUGUAAAAAAAUGUAACCUUUUUAAUAUUACUCAUAAUAGUAAGACUUACCAGUAUUAGGAUGUUAUCAGUGGAAUGAGAAUCCUCUCCAGAUCUUUUUUGUGAGCUAUUAUUUGUAUUUAAUUUUAAAUAUAAAAAAUUAAAAUAAUUUAUGACGGCAGUGAUUCACAUGAUCUUCACAAAGAGAAUCCAAAUAAUCUUAAUUUAUAUCAGUGUGUCUAGAUAACAUGAUCGAGCCCCUUUACUUUUACCCUAUUUAGUAUUUUACAUUUGAACCUGUAAAUAUUCGAUUUUUCUUUGGUGCAACCGAGCACCAAAUAUAGAUUUUUUUUCACUUUUAUAUAAUGAUAAAUAAAGGGCAAUUGGCAGAUUUGAAUUCCAUUCGGAUUGGUCAAAAAUCAUUUUAAAUUGUUUUAUUUAAAAUUAAACACAUAUAGUACUUAAUAAAAAUUAGUCGUACAAUAUACGAUAAACAGAUAUAAUGUAAGGACCUUUAUGAUCUUCACAAAAAAGAUCCAAAGGUUGUGUAGCUGUUUCAAAAGGAUAAUACUCACUUUUGAUUAGUUCAAUGAAAUUUUAAACAUGUUUUAUUGUUUUAAAAAAUAAUAAACAUAUUUAUUAAUGUUUGUUUUACUUUAAAAAAUAAGCAGCACUUGACAACAUUUGAUUGUGCUAAAUAAAAAAUGAGUGACCACUUAGUACUACAGUCUUAUGAUAUUUUUCUUCAUUUGAAAGUGAGAGGUUUUAAGUUCGAAUCUCGUGGAUGACGAAUUUGAUAUCAAAUUAGAUUGCUCACUAUGUGGCUUAGCCGAACUCUCAUUUCCUUUAAUGUAAAAAUAUUGAUGUAUUCAAAAAAAUAAAAAGUGACUAUAGAGGACACUCAAUCUCAGCUGUAUGAUUAAAUCAGACGGUAAGAAAAAUUCUGCAAGCAUACUCGGUUACAUUAAUUGAAGAAAAAAUGGGUAAAUAUUGGGCACCAACGUUAUAAAUACCCUCCACCAUGCACCCAACUCCCUCACACCAUCACAACCCACGUUACAAAUCCUCCUCCUCAUCAUAACCAUUCUGUUUUCCGCAUAAUAUCCAAAAACCUAUCAUGUCUGAAGAGAAACACCACCGCGGUCUCUUCCACCACCACAAGGAUGAAGACAAACCCUCAGACUACCCUCAGUCUGGCUACUCUGAUGAAGGACGUCCCGGCGGCCUCGGUGGUGGUUACGGCGACACCAAUGAUUAUUCUGGUGAAGGACGUACCGGCGGCCUAGGUGGUGGCUAUGGCGACACCAAUGCUUAUUCUGGUGAAGGACGUCCCGGCGGCUAUGGCGGCUAUAACGAGACCACUGCUUACUCUGAGGAAAGAGUUGAAAGACCCGGCGGUGGCCGGUACAGUGAGACUACUGCGGCAUAUGGCAGCACCACCACUCAUGAAUCUGAACUUGAUUACAAGAAGGAGGAGAAGCACCACAAGCAUCUCGAGCACCUCGGCGAGGCCGGUGUAGCUGCUGCCGGCGCUUUUGCCUUGGUACGUAUUGUAUUUUAACCCACCUCUAUAUAUAUAUAUAUUAGAAUAAUGCUAAUAAGACCAAAUUUUGAAAACUAAAUGAUGUGGUUGUUGAUAAUGAACUUAUUACUCAAGUCUUGAUUAACAUGCUUAUUUUCUAAUAGUGACACAUUAUUUGGUUUAGAAAUUUGGUCUUCCUAACUUUAUCAUUCUCAAAAUUUUCAUGAUUUUGAUAGGGUAAUACGGGAGAUCAAAAUUUCUAAACCAAAUUUGCAAACCAAUAGAUGAUUGGAUUAUUAAUUAAGUAUCGAUUGUUUGUUUCUUAUUAACGACAUAUCAUUUGAUUUACAAUUUAGUUAAAAAAAAUUUAUUCUUUCUGUCAUAUCCUUUUGAAUAUUUGAUCACUUUACUCUUUAUCACUUUACCCUUGAUCACUUUACCCAUACUCUUGCAACCGAAUCACCGUCCUCCUCCUUAACCUUCAUUUUUUUGUCUUACAGUACUCCAAUCUAUCAACUCUGUCCAUUGCAACUUUAAUUGUGAAGAAAAUUAAAGUCCUAUCGUAAAAUUAAUUAGUGAUAUGGAGAGUUGCGCAAUUAUUGAUGGACUAGGUAGGUAAGAUACGGAAUCAAAGUCUACCAUUAACAAUGGACGGAAUUGAUGAACCAUAUAGGUAUGUAAGAUACGGAAUCAAAGUCCUCAUGUAAAUGGUACAGUUGCAAUCAGGAGAAGAAAUGAGUUAACUGAUACCUUCGUAAUAGUUCAUGUAGAGUUUUGAUAUUAUUAAGCCUUAACCACCUGAUCUUAUAUAUACGAGGACAAAUCUAAUCAAAUAUGUGUUAAUUUCAAGGUUUGUUUUACAUUGAUGUGAGAUCGAUGCUAGCAAGAUAUAUAACUUAUGUCAGUUUCUAUAUGAUGUGUGUAGCAUGAGAAGCACAAUGAAAAGAAAGACCCAGAGCAUGCCCACAGGCACAAGAUAGAAGAGGAGAUUGCUGCAGCAGCUGCAGUUGGUUCGGGUGGAUUUGCCUUCCAUGAGCAUCAUGAGAAGAAAGAGACAAAGGAAGAAGAGGAAGAGGCUUAUGGAAAGAAGAAGCACCACCACUUCUAGAUCUAUGUGGAUUGUGGAACAUCAUCUUUUGACUACAUAUGCAAUGUUGUGUUUUUACUAGUUAUCAUGUGGUGUGAUCAGUGAGAGUGUGAUGCUUAAUCUCAACAAUAUCGCUACAAUAGUUGAGUGGUUAAAUGUCCUUUUCAAUUAAUGGGUGCUAUCUGGUUUUCUUUUAGCAUGCCAUCUAUGUAUGUAUGUAUGUAUGUAUGUCAUUGUUAUUGUUCAUAAUAAUACUGUUUACUCGGUGUUUAUUUCCUAGUGGCCACAUCUCAUUUUAAAUGAUUUCUUCAUACCAUUAAUUUUUUAAAUGUAAAGACUCAGUAUCCAUAUAACUACGAAAAUUUUUGACAAAACAAAAACAAGAAAAAAGAAAAGGAAAAAAUGGCUUAGCAAGUUUGUAUCCUAUAAGACAAAUGGGUACGUGGAACGAUGGACAUCUCACAAUGGUUUUUGAAUCGUCGGAUCAUCAUGGUUGGACUAUAUAAUUAUCAUUGAUAUAAUAUAAAUUUUGAUUUUUUUUUAGGAAAUUAAUAUCUGAAAACAAUAUUGAUGUACUGCAUUUGUUUUGGACGAUAUUAUACUUUAAUCCAAAUUUUGAGAAAAAAAAAACAUAUCGAACUCAGGUGUACAAGAGUGGCUUUGCUACCCAUGUACAGGGCUAGUUCUGAGUUUUUGGGUGCCCAGUGCGAAAGCUCAAAAUGUGACAUUUUUUAAUACGAAAACAUAUAUUAAAAAAAAUAUUUAAUGAGGGCUGGAACCCAGUCGAAGCUGGAGGGCUAGGACCUCACGCCCAAAUUAUAUUACUUGAGAAAAUAUACAACUGAGGAGGGGACAUGGUACCUAAACCCCGACAAUCAAAAGUACAAUCAUAUACAACCACUCCUAGCAAAUCUCCUUCAAAUUUCAACCUUUAAGAAAUUGUCUUCUGGCAUUUUUUGAAGCAAAAUCAUCAAUUAUAUCAUCAUACUCCAAGUCUUCAAUCUCAUCAUUUUCAAUGCAUAAGAUUGCUAAUCCAUUUAGCCUAUCUUGAGUCAUAGUGGUCCGCAAGUAAGAUUUUAAUAAUUUCAAUUUUGAAAAACUUCUUUUUGCAGAUGCCAUGGUCACAAGUACAGUUAACAGUACACGAUAAGCAAUCAAGACAUUAGGACACAUGUCAGUUUCUUUUACAAAAUUUGCUAUUUCCAUGGAUGUCCAAGGGUUAUUAGAGAGAAAUGCUUCUUCAGGUAAUAUCAUUUGCAAAACCUGCAAUUCGGAAUAUAAGUCAACUCCAUCUACAUCCAUGGUAUUUCCAUGUUUCAAAUGUGCUUCAAGAUUCAUACAAUUUUCUUUUAGCUCUUGAUCAUCCAAUGAAAUUAACUUUGGUGCAUCAAACAAGAAGCCAAAAAUAGAUUCAAAGGAUUUUAACUGUUCAAACUUGUGUUUCAGUUGAGAAAGAGCAAUAUCCACUAUAACAAGAAAAUAAUAUUUCCUAAAUGAUUCUUUAGCAGAUUAUUGUUCCCUCUCAUUACCAUCAACUUCAUCAUGAUGUCUUUUUCUAGGUCUAUGACAUUUAGUUUGAAAAAACAGGGUCAAUUUCCAAAUCAAGUGCAAUUUCAUUAGCAUCACUCAUGGCGGAAGCAAAACCAGUUUCUCUGUAGUUUCCAAAAAAUGUAACAAAUGCUUCAAAUGCCUUUACAGCAACAUCAAGACGCAUGUCUUUAGAUUGUAAUUUUAUGCUCACCAUGUUAAUCUUCAACAAAAUGUCAUACUAAAUAACCAAACUUAAUACAAAAUCAAAACUUGAAAGUUCGCCUGAUGCUAAACAUCUUGCAUCCCUACUUAAUUGAGGAUUUUCAGUAAUUUCCACCAAUUAAACAAAGCAUUUCUAACCUGGGCUACUUGAGACUUAAUUGCUUUAACAUUUUCAAUGUGACUUUCCCAUCGAGUAGUUGACAAUGACUUCAAAGUUAAACCAUCAAUAUGUUCAACCAAAAUAUUCCAACGCUUUGUAGAGUUGGAAAACACCAUAUAUAUGCAUUGACAUGCUCUAAAAAAAGAUUUUGCUUUAAGACAUGAACUUGCCAUAUCACAAACUAUUAAAUUAAGCUAAUGAAAACCACAUGGCAUGUAAAAGGCUAUGGGAUUUAUGUCUAACAAUCUUUUCUGGACAACUUGGUGUUUCCCUCUCAUGUUAGAUCCAUUAUCAUAACCCUGUCCCCUCAUAUCAUCAAUAUCAAGGUCUAAAAUAUCGAUAUUAUCCCGAUAUUUCUUUCGAAAUUUCUGUGUUUUUGGAUUACCGAUAUUUCCGAUAUCAUCGAUAUUUUAGACCUUGAUAGGAACUCUAUGUGAUACUAAGUCACUCAUGUAUCUUACCAUGCAAUGUAUAAAGUGUAAAAUAUUGUAUUAAUUCAUUAUAUAUAAAUGAUUAUGGUGUGUUUAACUUCUUUCAUUAAUUACUACAUAUUUUCUACACUCAAAAUGUUUGUCAGCUCACUAUAUAAUCAACUUAAAUAAGUUAAAUCCAUCAUGAAAUGCAUUUCGUUCCAAUUUUUUGUAAUAAACUAGUAGAUAAUUGACUAAAUAAACAUCCUGCAAAGUUUCAAUAAAAAUUUCCAAGUUUUUCUUAUAAUUUCCGUGGUUUUUAUUCAAUUUUUAUCGAUAUCGAUAAUAUCCCGAUAUUUCCAUCAAAAUUUCCGUAUUUUUGGACUAUCAAUAUUUUCGAUAUCAUUGAUAUUUUAGACCUUGAUCAAUAUCAAGAUCAAGAGAUUUUAGGACAUCUUGCAGCUCGUUAAAAAGCCCUUGUCCUAAUGUAUCUUUCACACUUAAAAACUCCAUGAAAUACUCCCUUAUAUUUAUUGACCUACUUGACAAGUCAACACAUCACAAAAUUAAAGUCAUCUGUUCCACAUGACUUGCAUUAGGAGUACAAUCAAGAAUGACAAAAAAAAAUUUGGCUUCUUUUACUUUUUUAAUGAUUGCGGUUUUGACUUUUGAAGCUAAAGUAGCUAUCAACUCAUUUUUGUUGGAAAUGUGCCCUAAAACCAAUCAUAUGAUGAUACUUUACGAACGUUUCACAUGUUAAACUAAUAUAGUUUAAUAUAAAGGGCAAAAAUUAUUGUUUGUAGCCGUCUCAUAUAAAUGUUAUACGCUUAAACGAUAAGUCCAAGGAAUAUGUAAUUGGGAGAAUGCGAUCUAAAGAAGUUAGAUUCAUGAGACCAUUCUCUUCCGUAUACAUAUCCUAAACGUUACUGAUCAUAGGAUUGUCAAUUGGGCAUUGAUAGUCUGUUAAGAUCAGUACGUGUUAUGUCUUCUCUUAAGGAGAGUGACUGGUCUCGAGUCAUUGGUGUGACUGACACCAAGACAAGCAUGUAGGUGCUCAAUAGAGAAUGAGUCCACUGAACACGAUCAACAAGGAGUUCUCAUACUCAUGUCACAUGAGAACUCGUGGUUGGAAUAAUGCAAAGUAGUCAUUUGACCUGAGGCAUCAUAGUUGUCUUGUGGUUAGGUCCUUGAUCUUUGACUAUGUCAAAGUCACUCCGUCAGAGGGUGUCCAUUGCAUAGUUGGGGUUAAGCCACUUAGCCAUGGAGGCAAGUGAAUGCACAAUAAGGGAUCUCUAACCUUCAAACUAUUUGAGGGAGAAUACUCUAUGAUAUGAUUAAGAAUCUCUGGCCAGAGUAUGAAUGAUAUUUAAGAAGUCGUUCCAAAUCACAUUCAAGGUAAUCAUAUAAGUAAGAGAAUCACAUUGGAUAGUAGACAUGAAUAAACUAUCAAACCAAACAAUGUGGUCAAGAGUAUUGUAUUAGAGUAAGACCGUAUUGCAUUGUAAUCCUAAACUAAAUAGGUUCUCCACCUCUUCUGAUCAGCUUGGGUAACCAUGACAUACUGCUAGGUGUUACUCAUGAUUUGUGGAAGCCCUAAACGUGUAUAAUCACUAAAGGGAGAAUUGAAAGUAAGUUUCAAUUUACAAUCGAUUUGAAAGAGUUCUAAUCGCUCACUGCCUCGCUAAAAGGAACCUAAUGGAUCGUACACCGUGUAAGGUAGAGAUUGAAAAAACAACGGAGAUAAGUAAGGACAAUUAAAUGGUUUAAUUGUUUAUGACAAGAAUUAAUUAAUAUGUUAAUUAAUCAAACGAAUAAGUUCGGGUUAAACCUUGAGUUAGUUUUGGGCAUUAAAGCCCAAAUUGGGCUUCGAAUCUUCAAACCCAUUAGCUUAAGUUGUAUGACAACUUAACAAACAAAAUUCAAGAAGCCCAAAACAGCCCAAAGGCUUGGGAAAACCAGCCAUAUAGAGAGGGGUAGUGAACUUGGCUUAAUUGCAAGUUUGCCAUUCCAUUGUGAGGUGGUAUAAAGGCAACUUUAUAGCCAUUUCAUCCUUAGGGUUUCUUUUGGAGAAAAGAUGAGAACACAAGCUCCCUUUUCUCUCUAAGAGGCUGGCCACCCUAGAGGAUUUUAGCUAGCAAUCUUACUUCCUCUAGGUCACUCAUCUCUUCUUCAAGUCAUUCCUUGGUGUGGAGACUUAGAGGUUCCUUUCAACCAUCUUCAUCCAAGAAAUCCAUGGAGCUAAGAAGCAAGGAAUGAAGGCCCUCGCCUUGGGUGAUUAGCCUUUGCUUAUGCAAAGAGGAAUCAACAAAGGUAUAAAAUUUCUCAACUCACUUUGUUCUUGAGUUGAGUCUUGGUUCACAUAACUACUAGGCUUUGAAUUUCAUGGGUAAUGUUUUGUUUUGAGUGCAUACAAGCAUGAUUCCGCCUUUAAUUGUUAAUUGCAUGCCAUAGAUGUUGCUCAAAUGAACAUGUUUCUCACAAAAUUUCCUUCAAUUUUGAAUUUUAUGGCUCAAAUAGUGAUGAUGAAUCUCUUUAUUCUCAAUAAGUCGAAAAUGCUAUUGCAUUAUUGGAUCAAACUCCGCAUUCAUUUCAAGUAAACCUAAGAAGUUGCCAUUAGAGUCUUCAUAAAGUCUUUCAUUUGUUCCACGAAAUGCUAAAUUACGUAUGGCAAGACAUUUCAUAACAUCAAUAAUUCUAAGCAUCACUUGUUUCCAAUGAUUUGGCUCUUUCUUGAUUUGCAUUUGAAAUUCUUUGUCAAUUGUCUGAUUUUUUGUCAAUCUACUUUUCAACUCAACCCAAGUUCUCGAAUUAAUGAGAUGCUCUUUACUCUUUUCAUAUUGGUCAAGCUUCUUACCAAGAUGUCUCCAAUCACUAGUUCCAUCUUUUGCUAACUCACUUUUUGAGGCAAUUAUUUUAAACAAUUUACAACAAAAGCAAAAGACUUUAUCCAACUCUUUUGAGUACACGAGCCAUUUCCUAUCGUAAAUUUUACCCGUUCGUAAUUUUCGAUCAUAGUAGUGUGAGGAAAAUUUUCUAGAGAAUUUGUCCUUAGGAUAAGUGAAUUAGUUUCUCAAAUUGGUCCUUUUUCUACAAGUAAGUCUCUCAUUUUUGCAUUAAGACCAUCCCAAACUAUUGGAUCAUAAAUGUCUAAAUGAAAAAUAGGUUCAAGAGAUUCAAUAUUUUCUUCUACACCAAAAUGAUCAUCAUCAACAUUUAAAUCCACAUCACCACCAUUUUCAUGAUCUUGAGACUCAUCACCAACAUUUUCCUCUAAAUCACCACAAUUUUCUUGGUCAUGAGACUCGUCAUUAACAUCUUUCUCCACAUAACCACAAAUUUCAUCAUCAUGAGACUCCCCAACAAUAUUUUGUGACUCUUCACCAACAUCAUUUUCUCUCAAAUUUUCAACCGACUCAUUCUUUAUAGAAUUUUUUUUAUUAAGAGAUCCUCUUAAACUUUAGGCAAUUUCGUUAUCCUUUGCCUUUUUUUUCCUUUUCAUAUUACUAGAGAGUUAUUUUCUAAAAGACAUGGCUUUGAUAAUUUGUUUGCAAAAAUUACCUACAUAUGAUAUAACAAAAAUUUCCUAUUAAAAUUAUCAUCAACAAUUCAAAAAUUACCUACACAUGAUAAUCAAGAAUUCAAUUCAUCAACAACAACAAUUCUAUACAUCAAUUAUCAUAUAAUUCUGUCACUUGCAAAAUUUAUAUUAAAUUAUGAAUUAAUAAUUCAAAUUAAAAAAUUAGUUUACCUCAAAACUCAAAAGGGUUGUUGAAUGCAAGGACUUGUGGGCCUGUGGCUGUCGGGUUUGGAAGCUGUAGCCUGCAGCAGCGCAACAAAUUAUCAGACGGUAAGGGCUAGGGCAGUGGGGUAACAAUGGGGUGGGGAAUCGGGAAAAAGGGGAACUUAGGGUUAAUUGGGGGGGGGGGGGGCGGGGACGAGUGGUCCCCUUGUGUUGUUAUUUUUUAUUUUUUUAAUGGCCAAAACCUGG